rnacentral:lncRNA from 1 species
UAAUUAAUUAAGUACUAAAUCCAAACAACUCAAACAAUGUAUUCCUUCUCUCUCUGUCACAGCAUUAACAAAUACAGCGAAUAACAGCUCAAGGUAUAAACUUGAGCAUACAAUUAAAACCAAAUUGGAAAUUUCGACGACCCAGAUGCGCAAAAAUUCGAAUUGAUGGCCAAAAAUGUAGGUUUUUUAUGAAUUGAAGCGAUUAUUACCAUUUUUGCCUCUUUUGGGGUUCUUCGGCGAUGAGGAAGGAAAGGAGGGGUUGAGAAGGGUUUGCAGAUUCCACAAGCCAUUGAACAGUGAGCGUUGAAGGUACCUUACUGGGGACUUUAAGGGCGACGCAAAGGAAGAAGAAGAAGGGAGAUAGAGGAGGGAUUGGGAGCGUGGGAUUAGGGUUUUAGGAGAGAAAGGAUAAAACAAGGGCUCCGAAGGUGAGCGAAGAAGAAGGGUUUAAAACUCGCGGAGUAUAGCAUACAAAAUUAUAUUUAUUUAUAUUAUUAAUUACUCAUCAAUAUUUUUUUAUUAUGUAAAAUAGAUUCAGUUAUUUAAGAUAAUUAUUAAAAUUCAGCUAUAAAAUUUUAUAACAAUAAAUUUAAAUUUAUAGAUAAAGUUAUCUAUAAAUUAAUAAAAAUUACUCAAUAAACUAUAAAUUUUAGUAGUAUUAGUAAAAUAAGGAUUUCAUCGUAUCUAAAAGUUUUAUAUAUUUUUUGUGUCGCAAAUUAGAUAUUUGUUGAGUAGUAGAAUACCGUAAUAUCCUAACUUGUUUUAGUAAAAUUUUACAGCCUAAUUUAUUAAUUUUUUAAAAUUUUUAUUUUUAAAUAUAUUUAUAAUGAUGACAAAGUAUAAGAUGAUAAACUAUUAAUUCUAAUAGUAUUAGUAAAAUAAGAAAUUCAUCUUAUCUUGAAAUUUUAAUAUAUUUUUUGUGUCACAAAUUAGAUAUUUGUUGAGUUUUAGAAUAUUGCAAUAUUCUAACUCGUUUAGUAAAAUUUUACAACCUAAUUUGUUAAUUUUUUAUAAUUUUUAGACAUUUAAGAUAAUGACAAUGUGUAAGAUGAUAAUAGAUACAACAUUUAAGAAAAAUUCUAUAUGUACUGCUCAAAAGUGAAAUAUAUAUCUUAUACCUCUAUUAUACAGUUCACAAAAAUUUAAAUAAAUUAAUAUAAAAAGAAGGAAUGAUGAUCGUUAGAUGAGUUGGAUAUUGAUUUUAUACCCUACUUUCGAGGUACCAGCACAAAUAAUUAUCCUUGCUGUAUUAAAAAUUAAAAAAUAAAAUUUUAAAAACUCCAAUUGUCUAAUCUAUAGUUGAGUGUAUUUUUAUUUUACCGUGAUUUAAAAUAAUUUUACUUUAUUACCAUGCAAUUUUCAUUAUACGACUAAAAAAAAUCUGCCAUCAAGCGAGACAUUAAAGUACUAAAAUUUACAACAUAAAAAGUAGCAAAUUGAUAAAUUUUACAAAACACAAGAUCGCAAAUUGUAGUGUAUACUCAAUUUUAUAGUUUAUAUCUAGUAUUUUUCAAGUCACAAGACAAAGCAUUCAGGAAUAUCUAUAAAUUUAAAACAUUCAAUUAAAUAUCUUUUAAAUUGCUUUGAAGUACAAAAAAAGUUUUCUUUUUUGAAGCAUCAUUUUAAUGUGUAAUUAUUAUUAUCGUACAGUUGUUAUUUGGAUUCUUCCUCAUCCCAUUAGCACAAAAUGAAUAGGUUGGGAGACAAUUAUUGCGGAUAAGUAAAAAAGAAAAAAAAAAAAAAAACUGAUAUAUAAACGACAAGGGCCAAAUCUCAAAUUAAAUCACCACCGCUCAAAUUUCAAUCUCAAUUUACGGUUUAAUUUUAAUUAUACGAAUGACACGGAAAUUUUGAUUCGUCAAAAGAACCUUGUCUACGGAUGACGUGGUGAACCGGGUCCAAGCAACAGUCUCCCUUCGUUUCCCUCCAAUUAAAACGCACACCGCCCUCUAUAUAUACACGUAAACAGCGGUGUUAAAAAACAAAAAAAAGCCAUUUUAAUUCAACACGGUCGUCGUUCCCGCGCCCCAACCUUCUGAAGUAGAAGAAACAACGAGGCUUCGCGAUCUCGGUAUGAUCAAAACCCUAAUCCACCCCUCUUCGAUCCCUCUUCUUCUCUCGUUUAACCUAGUUGAAGUUAAUGAGAAGCUGAACUACGGAUUCAUCGCCGAUUCGCCCUCGGAUUUCUUACUCUUUUUUUUUUUUUUUUUUUUUUUUUUUUUUUGUCGAUUUCGAGUUCUAUCGCGAGUUCUUGGAUUAGAAACUAGGGUUUAUAUCUUCGUGCUACAAUUCUCAUCUCUUAUCGAAUCUUUUCAAUCAUCUUCUUGGUUUCUUAUCAUCAAUUUCUUCACAUUUGAUGCACUCAUAUCUCAUUUCAAUAGAUUUUUUGUAGUUUUUCCCCGAUCAGAAACUAGGGUUCUCAAAUCUUUUCAUGUGCAGAUAGAUCAAUGUCGUUUCCGGCGAUAUCUUUCUAGCUCACCUUUUCCGUGUCGGUUUCUUUAUUUGCUUUCCAGAGCGGGGUCACAAUAUGGACGAAGGGAUGGGAGAUCCUGGAGGAGGGGAUUGCGAAGGCGGUGGCGAGGUUUCUGGAGGAAGACAUGCAAAUGAGAUUUAGUUCGGUAGAGUACACCAAAUACUAUACGUACGCCUCUAUCCCGAAACAAAUUUUCACUUCUUGGUCGAUUUUGAUCGUCAAUUGUUUACCCCCUCUUCUUGCAGUUGUGCUUUCAGGCUGGGCAUACAGAGUUUCAACUACUGCGAAGUGAUUUAUGACAGAUAUAAGUCGGCACUCGAGCAAAUUGUUACUUCAAUGGUAUGAUCGAAACGUAUAUAAAUGCAUGCAUGGCGAGUGCUCGCAUUGCUUCCUUAUCAUGUGUCAGAUUAUUCUUAGUGAUUGCAGUGUUUAUGAAUCGAUUUGUGCCCUCUUGUUCUGUUGUUUUAAUUUGUAUUAUGUUCUUUAAGCAUAUGGAUAUAGUAUUUGGUGUGGAACAUGCGGAGGGGUUCUUUUAUUUUAUCCUGUUUUAUCUUCAAAAAGUAUGAGAUUUGAGUAUUUGAAUUUCCAGGUCUUUAAAUCGUCUCCAACUACUGUAUAUAUAGUUAAAUUAGUCAGAUCAAACUUCUUGCAGGAGAAAUUCCGCAACGCGAUAUGGGGUUCUUGUUUUCUUUUCUUGUCCUGUUUUGCAAAUGGGACGAACUCUGAUUUUUAUUCCCAUUUUUGGUAGCAUCAUAUAUCUGACUGCUGCGUCCGGCGGAUUUUAGAAUCAGCAUUGGGUUGAAGCCGGAGAGAAAAGACUAAAUAUGUUCUCUUUUUAAUCCUCCUGAAUUCUCGUCUUCACUAAAAUUGCUGCAGCUUUUCUACACCCCAAUACCAAUAUCUGGAUGAAGGACUUCGUACUAGCAAUUUCUUUUUGAUGAUAGGGCAUCCAUCGGUGAUGAAUAAUGUUGAUCAUGAUCUAGAGUGUUCGAAUACCUUUAUGAUCAAAGGUCCUAAAAUCGACAAUUUUAGUAGAUGAAAUGAGGUAUUUGUUCUUCCAGUGAUGUAGAAGAAUUCAAAUCAAUUCACUUUCUGUUUGAAGUACUUCUCAUUAUCCAGCUCAACACUAGUGUCUCUGAUCUUAAAUUGAUUGCUCUGUUCUUUAUUUUUGUAGGCGUUUGCUCCCCUUUUUUAUUUUGGAAGAGAAGAGUCAUUUCUGUCUGUUGAUUUAGAAAGGACAACAUUUAAUUUGACAACUUACCCUAUAUGUGGCUGGCUGGUCUGUGAUGAUAUCACAUGCGCCUGGUGUACCAUAAAUUAUAUCUUAAGGACACUAUUAUAAAGGCCUUAAAAUCAAAAGUUAACCCAUUAAAUAUAGUUUGCGUUAUUUAAAGGCCUGUAUACCAAAAUUAUAAAUUUGUAUCCUACGUCUUUUGAAUCUAACUGUUAAAUUUGUUGCACUAGAUGUAUUAGAAACUAAUUGUUAAAAAAAUGAUGAAAUUUGGUUCCUAGACAUUUGAAGUGAUGUUUUGUCAAGUAGCAUUCCCUAUAAUUGAAAAUAAAGUGUAAAUAUGUGGGCUAUUGUCCUCAGAACUGCGCCCCGCAGCUUUAUUUGAUUAAAUUCUACAGCAGUCUCCUUGCAAAUGGCAAUUCAAUGUCCGCUGCAGUGAUUGUUAACUAUGCCUCUUCAGCACUCAUUUAUCUGUCCCAUUUUUCUAGUUUGGAUAUGAAAAGCCAUGGUCGAAGCUUUACGUUCAUUUAUAUGAUCUACACUGUGUUUUUAUACCUUUGUAUGCCUUGUAAUUGCUCCUUUUGUUCCUAUCCUUCACCUUAUUUAUGCAAGUUCCUUUACCCACUAGUUAGUUGCAAAUUUAUAUCUGGUACAGGUUCUAAUAGUUCUUCAUUAUUGGCAUACGCUUUCCUCCUAUUAGGUCUUGCCCUCUUUGAUGGGUAAGCGGAAUGAGUUUCUCUUGCAAGAACUUCUUAGAAUGUGGUCAAACUAUCAAAAAAUGACCAUAGUAACAUCAGAAAUUCUUGCUUAUCUUGACCGCCAUUAUGUUCCCUUUUCUUCACGUCCUCCACUAAAGACCGUGGCUGCCGGUUGCUUUUUCAAUCUGGUAAGAACAUACACUCCUUCUGGAAUGUCAGUUUAUGCUCUUAUAUCUUUAUUAGGAGGAUAAAGAAAGUUUUCUCUUGCAAUUUGUACCAAUAAAUUGUCGUUCAACGUGGACCAGAAAACAAUCAUUUACUAUGAACAAUCUACAGGUAUUUCCUAAGAGUCCGAGAACAAUGAUUGAAUCUGUGGGUGAUGCUGUAGUUUCUUUGGUAUGUCAAAUGUCUUUUGUGAUUGCUCUAUUUGUCUACACAACCAACUUUUGUCAUGUGUUAUGCAACUAAAUUUUGUGCAUCAGAUGAACCGAGAGCGUGAAGGAGAGGAGAUCAGUCACAAUCUCAUAAAUAGUUUUAUGGCUUUUACCACCGAUGGAAUUACAAUUCUCCCACAUCUAUAUGAUCCCGAUAUUGAAACCGCUAUUCGUGAUGGUGCCUUUUCUUAUUAUUCCCGAAAAGGUUUUGUGUGGUUUAUGAGAUGUACUUUCAAUUAUGUUUCGAAGGUAAUUAUAAUUAAUAUUGCUUGAGCACCUGAUUAGAGAAAUACAUAGGACAUAAGCCAAUCAGAAUUAACCUUGUAUUUUUUUUUUAUCUUCAGUAUAAAGAAUGUCUGAUAAUGGAGAGCGAGAGGGCUGCUCGCUAUUUGAUUUUGAGCAGGGAUUUUCAGAGGCACUAUUUCGUUCAGGUAUUGUUGUUGUCUGUGGUUACAGAGUGGAAUUGGACAGGGCCAUGUUGCCACGCAUGUUGAUCACUAGCCCACUGCAAUCUUGACACAGUCACUGUAGCUUUGUCUAAUUGGAAGGACCAUUUUUUUGCUGUUGUAUUGGGCGAGACCUUAAUGGCGAUUUUGCCUGAAGAAAGCCAAUUGUUCUUCGACCUCGGCACCUCUGAUCCAAUUUUUCUGAGUUUUGCACAUUUUUUUAUCAAUAAAUCCAUUUCCAGACCGAAACAACCCCGUCGGAAAUCUCUAAUGCAUAUGUAUUCAGCAUAAGGUGUGACAGAAAUAUUUCAGGUCAACAGAGGGGAAGACCUCAGUCCAAAACUGCAAAAUAACCGAAAAUAGGAGAAAGUACUUUCAGCUACCUGAUUUCAUCUUCAUUCCCUUUUGACCUGUUGUUCUGUGUGCAGCUUAUUGACGCAGCGCUAGUGGAAGCAUUCGAGAACGCAUUCCGAACCAAAAUGACCACUAUUGCUUUACGGUUUGGCGCAUACAUAAAACAUUUUAACAGCAUGAGAAACUCUACACCUCUAAUUCCUUCAUUGUGCAGGGCACUGUCGCCGAGAAACUAUCCGACUUGGACCCCGAUGAUAGAAACAGAGAAGCAGCACAAUCUCAGGCAUAUGGAAAUGCACUUAAGACUUAAAGAGGAAUGGUAAGCUCUUAGUUUUCGAUUACACACAGAAACAGGCAUUUUUUCUGCAUGUUCUUUUUGUUACAGUUAGAUAAUUGUACAUAACACACAGCCUAGUGAUGAUUCUUUUACUGAUGUUACUGGGACAUGAGGUUUAGAUUUGAUAGAGAUCCUGUACAAAAAAAAAACAAAAAAAAAAAAAACCUAAGCAUUUGUUCUUUUUCUAUACUUGGUCCUAAUUUGGGAGUGCAUUUCUUAAUGCAACCACUUUAAAGUUUUAUUAGAGUUUUGACCCCAAAAAAAAUUCAAAAAAAAGGUUUUAAAAUUUAAACAGGAUGAUAAGUAGGUUGCUUCUUUUUUUUUUUGCCAGUUCUUCACAUGUUGAUAGCAUCUGUGUAAUUAUAAAGUUUCUCUGGUAAAUUUUUAUUGCUUCUUUGUAUCUUUUAUUAUGUUUAUUUAAACUGGUGUGCAAGGUAUGCGUGCAUAAGCAAGUAGUUUAUAAACUUGUCCGAAAUAUAAAUAUAUAGAGAAUAAUAAUAAUAUAUAUAAUAAUGAUGAUAACUAAAACUAAAGGGAGGGAAACCGAUCGCGUUAUUUAAGGCCGUAGAAUCAAAGAAAACAUAAAGAGCUUUGAACCGUUCGUGUAUGAUCAAACGGCUCAUGUCAAUGGGGCCCACAUAUGGAACCGCUAUUCAGUCAGAUGUAAAAAUUAGUAAGGCAAAGAAUACGGAAUCCUUCUUACAAGAGCAAAUUUGCCAUUUUUAUUUUACCCCUCCAAUUUUUAACUAGCCUUUUUCAUUUUUUGUAUGAUUGGAUAUUUUGUCCCUCUUUUAUUGCUAAUUCGGUGGUGGGACGCUGUGUUAUUGUCAUUUUGAAGGAGAAAAUAAUAACGGCAUAUAAAAAUAUGGAAGUCGAGAGGGUUAAUUAUAAAUUCUUGGAUCGAUGUGUAAUUACAAAACUAACAGAGGCUUUUUUUUUUUUUUUUUCCCUGCAUAUAAGGACAGCUUUAACCCGUUGUUUCUUUUUCUUACCAUUUCUAAUUUAAAUUGAUCCCUAAUUCCACGCUCUUCCUUGGUCAUAAUAAAAUACACCAUAACUAUAACUAAAUAAAUAAAUAAACAACCUCCCCAAAUUACAAUCGUCCGUCUCCAAACCCCGCAGCUUCCUCCCAAUCCCCGAUGGGGUCUCCGUCUUCUUCUUCCCCCAAAAGUUCGCCCUUUUCGGAUUAGGGUUAGGGUUAGGGUUUCGAACCCUCUGAGGAGCUCUUUUCCUCGCCUCCUCCCCCGAUUAUUUCCUAAUUCAGGUGCGCGUCCCCAAUUCCUAACUCCUUUUUCGCGCUUGAUCUGAUUACUUGCCUUGGUUGCUCAAAUUCGACGUUCAAAUUGGUUGUUUUAGGGCUCAGUUUGGGGUUUUUUUUUUUUUUUUUUUCUCUUUUUUGUUGGAUCGAGUAGUUGGGAUUACGGUUCGAGCUCUUUGGUAUUUGUAGGGUAGAAAUUAGGGUUUAUUUCGAUCUUCGGGACGUUGGAGAUCGGGAGCAUGUCGAUGCACGAGAGGAAGACGAUCGAUUUGGAGCAGGGAUGGGAGUUCAUGCAGAAGGGGAUCACCAAGCUGAAGAACAUCCUGGAGGGUCUCCCCGAGAAGCAGUUUAGCCCCGAGGACUACAUGAUGCUCUACACGUAUGCUCACUAUCUUCUCCUCCUUGUCUAUUAGGGUUUGCUAAAAUUGUUACCUUGAGCUCAUGUUUCAUUGAUUUCUUUUAACUAUGGAUCAGGACUAUCUACAAUAUGUGCACUCAGAAGCCCCCUCAUGAUUACUCGCAACAGCUAUACGACAAGUAUCGGGAGUCGUUUGAGGAGUACAUCACUUCGACAGUGAGGAUGCCUUGCAAACUUCUUUUGAUUACUUUUUUCAACUAUUUUAGUGCACGACUACAUAGUUACUCUCUCUUCUUUUUCUUUUUCUUUUUUGUCAGCAUUAUUAUUAAUGUUAUUGUUAGUUAAAUGAGAAGUUAACCUUCUAUAUAUUCACCCUUAUUGGGGUUUAUGCUGUUUAUUUGCAAUAAUUCAAACAUUGUCAACAGCCAUUAAUGAGAAUCAGUAAGUACUGGAAGUUUAGUGGUUCUGUUAUUACUGGUGCUAGUGCGAUCAGCUGAUUCAUGAAGAAGUAGAAGGUUAUCUUUUUCAUUUUUAAGCAUCCUUCUUCUUUUGAAGAUUUUCAUUAGGAAAUUUAGGUUGAUAGCUGUCAUUUAUUGUUUUUGAGGACCUGUAUGAAUUGAGAUACGUAUUGCUUUUCACAUACUUUAUAUGUGUAGCCUUGUUCUAUUUUGUUUCUUCUUUCCGUAGUUGACUCUCUCUCUCCCUCCUUUUAGAUGUAUCGAUGAUUGUAUUAGAAGCAGCUUGGUUAUUUUCAUUCAGGUGUUGCCAUCUUUGAUGGAGAAACACGAUGAGUUUAUGCUGAGGGAACUAGUCAAAAGAUGGUCAAAUCACAAAGUCAUGGUCAGAUGGCUCUCACGUUUUUUCCACUACCUUGAUCGCUACUUUGUUACUCGAAGGUCACUCCCUCCGCUUAGUGAAGUUGGGCUUACUUGCUUCCGCGAUCUGGUACGUGAGCUCUGAACUUUAAAAUAUUAUAUACUUGUUUUGAAAGUUCAUAUCUCCUCGAAGAUUUAGAAGUGCAUUUUGUGUAUGCACAUAGUUGGAGGUUGUUGUCAUUCUUGAGUUCUCGAAUAUUCUGGUUUUUCCUGAAUCGUUGCUGAUUUGUUUUCUGAUAUUCAGGUUUAUCAGGAGAUUUAUUUUAAAGUAAGAGAUGCUGUGAUCUCAUUGGUAAGUGAAAAGUAAAAGAUUUAUGAUGUGCUAUACUUCAGCUUCAUGGAUAUUUUUCUAAUUCAGCAUGAACUAUGGCAAUCAGAUUGAUCAAGAACGUGAGGGGGAGCAGGUUGAUAGAGCUUUGCUCAAGAAUGUAUUAGACAUUUUUGUUGAAAUUGGGUUGGGUAAGAUGGACUAUUACGAGAAUGACUUCGAAGCAGACAUGCUUAAAGACACUGCAGCUUAUUAUUCUCGGAAAGCUUCAAGCUGGAUUUCAGAGGACUCCUGUCCAGAUUAUAUGCUGAAGGUACUUCUCUUCUAAAAUUUGUUUGGAUGAAAUGCAUUAAGCUAUCCUUCGUUUGGUGAUAAUGACCUUUUUUACUUGCUUCAGGCUGAGGAGUGUUUGAAACGGGAGAAAGACAGAGUUUCGCAUUACUUGCAUUCCAGUAGUGAACCAAAGCUUUUGGAGGUUUGUUCUUGUUUAAUACUCCUUUGCAACCCUCUCUCUGUAAGUCAUGUUUACUAGAAUUUGACUGAACAAUCACCUGAGUACUGGCCUGCUUGUUAGGUCAAUGGUCAAAUCUAUUAGUUAAGUGAUUAACUAGUUGAUUUAAUGAAAGAUAAGAUCAUAACAUUGGUACUGAGGAGGUUUGGUAUAAAGAUGAGCAUUCUUCACCUGUUUCCAUUCUUGGCAGUUGGCACUCGGCUGGGCCACAUGCCAUUUAGCCAUUUAUUUUCUAAUAUAAUAUUUCUAAAGAUUUAAAUCACACAGUUAUUAAUGCAUUUUCUUGAGAUAGUUAAAACUGGCUGUUGUGGUUAGAAUAGUAAAGAGACAAAAGUCCUUAUCAAUCUAGUCUGUUGGCAUAAUUCAGUUCUUGGUUGUUUGUGGUCACUGUCACAUGUCCAACAAGCUGAUCCAAGUCGUUCUAAUAAUACUACUGUCUGUGAUUAUUAGCCUGCUAAUUAAUAUUUGAACUUGAUGAUGCUUGUUUUGUGCCUGACAUCCUGUUUCACCGCAACUUACCAAUUCCAAUGCAGUUUGUUACUCUAACAUACAUUGCUUUUCAAUUGCUGUAGAAAGUGCAAAAUGAGUUACUCUCUGUAUAUGCAACCCAACUUCUUGAGAAAGAGCAUUCCGGAUGUCAUGCAUUGCUCCAGGAUGAUAAGGUUCGUAGAUAUUUCUUCCAAAAUGAGUGUAGAUUCUGUUUCAUUAGCUCAAUUGUCUAAAAACUUAAAAUUGUCUUGUACUUGUUAGGUGGAUGAUUUGUCGAGGAUGUACAGACUCUUUUCUAAAAUAAAUCGUGGUCUGGACCCAAUUGCUCAGAUAUUUAAGCAGGUUAGUAUAAGUGCAAAUUUGUUAACAGUCUAAUGUUUUUCUUUACAGUUUACUGAGAUUUAGCACAAACUUUUGUCCUGCAGCAUGUUACCGCGGAAGGUACAGCUUUGGUCAAACAAGCAGAAGAUGCCGCAAGUAAUAAGAAGGUCAGUAGUCUACAAAUGCUUUUUUCAACUGAACAGCUUAUUUUCUUUAAAAUAUUUUAUUUUCAUUCUUCGAAGAAUUUCUUGCAAAUCUUUUGUUAUGAAAACUGCCGUUGCAAUCUAAUGUUUGUAUGAAGUCUUGUUCAGUUGCUUACAUAUUCUUGCUAACUCUAUUUUAUAUAGUGCCCUAAAACUUUGAUGAAUUGCAAUUCUGUGUGUUCUUCCAUUUACCUAUAGUUGUUUGCAAAAUUAGCUCAUAUGCUGGCCUAAUCACAGGACUUGCGUGGCUAGUCCGUGCUCUUAACGCUCAAUAAUAUGUUGAUAAUUCAUCAAGCAAGUUGUUUAUCAUUUUAGACUUGCAAACUCAAGCUACUGAUUUCAAGUUGCUUCUGGCAUGUAGUCCUGAUUACUGUUUGUAUAUUUAUUUCCUAGCAUUUAUUGCUUUUACCAGCUUGCAGUGUAUAUGCAUUUUUUAUAUUUCUUCUCUCUCUUGUGAUAUAUGGGCUAACAUAUGUUUCCUACAGGCUGAGAAAAAAGAUUUAGUUGGUUUACAAGAACAGGUUAGAUUUCUUAUUUGCAGCUCAUACAAGUACUAUGGUUACUUUAAAAUGCAAGUUUAUUGAUGGAACUAUCUGGUUGUAGGUCUUUGUUAGAAAAAUCAUUGAGCUUCAUGACAAGUAUUUGGCAUAUGUAAAUGAUUGCUUCCAGAACCACUCUCUAUUUCAUAAGGUACGUACAGAAAAUUUUCCUCUUAUAUAAGGGGUAUGUUUUCAUGUUUCUUCCCUAAAUAUGCUUGUUCUCAUCAGGCACUAAAAGAGGCUUUUGAGGUCUUCUGCAACAAGGGAGUUGCAGGAAGUGCAAGUGCUGAACUUCUAGCUACCUUCUGUGACAAUAUACUUAAAAAAGGUGGAAGCGAGAAGUUGAGUGAUGAAGCUAUCGAGGAGACCCUUGAGAAAGUAAUUGACUUUUCAACUGUCUUUUGAUUUUUCUAAUAAUUUGACCUUGAAAUAUCAAAUAUAUCAUGUGAACAAUCUCUCGCAGGUUGUGAAGCUGCUUGCAUAUAUUAGCGAUAAGGAUCUUUUUGCUGAGUUCUACAGGUAGAAGUCUUAUGCUGUCACCCUUUCAAUUAGUAAUUUGUUUUUACUUUAAUCUGGCUUUAUAUAUAUAUAUAUAUAGAGAGAGAGAGAGAGAGAGAGAGAGAGAGAGAGAGAGUUCGGCUAUUAUACUCUUAUUAUGAGUACAAUUGACCUACCCAUAAAUCAUUUUUGAUGAUGGAGCUUCCCAAUCGAUAAUCCAUAUAGUUAAACUUGAUUUAGAGUAUUUGAAAUUUCUAGAAACCAAAUUUCAUAAUUUUUUGACAUCAUUUACUUUACGAUCAAAAGAUAUAAAAAUUGAGAAUUUUUAACAACCGGUAUGGGAUGCUUGCAAGUUUAACGGUGUAAAAGAAUCGAAAUCGAUUGAAUUUUUGGUAGAAAAAAUUAUUCACUAUCUAGAUAGAGAUCUACAAUUCCGAUCAUAAAUUGAAGAAUCUAUCAUCUAUUUUUAGGAGGUAAUUUGAUUUUGAUCGUCUAUUUUAUGUCUACUUGAUAGACUUUAUUAUAAUUUCAAAAAAUUACGAAAUUAGUUUUCUAGAAGUUUCAAAUGCUCUAGAUCAUAUUUAACGGCAUGGAUCGUCAAUUCGGAAGCUCUAUUAUCGAAAACAACUUAUGAGUACAAAGAGCUCUAUACUCAUAAGAGUAUAGUAGCCCUACUCUCUCUCUCUCUCUCUCUCUCUCUCUCUCUCUCUCUCUCUCUCUCUCUAUAUAUAUAUAUAUAUAUAUAUAUAUUUCCUUACACUCAAUUUGAUUAAUUCACAGGAAGAAACUUGCCCGAAGGUUGCUAUUUGAUAAAAGUGCUAAUGAUGACCAUGAGCGUAGUAUUUUGACAAAGCUAAAGCAGCAGUGCGGAGGGCAAUUUACCUCAAAAAUGGAGGGCAUGGUAUGCUUACAAAUUUUAUUAUUUUCUUCCUAUUUGAAGGUUUUUUACAGUUUCCUUUCUUCUCAGGUAACUGAUUUAACUCUUGCAAGAGAAAACCAAUCAAGCUUCGAAGAAUAUCUAAAUAGCAAUCCUCUGGCAAAUCCUGGAAUUGACCUUACAGUGACUGUUUUAACGACUGGGUUUUGGCCUAGUUAUAAAUCCUUUGAUCUUAAUCUCCCUGCUGAGAUGGUACAGACUUGGUCCUUGUUACUUCUUUUAGUUUCUAGUUAUGGAAUUGAAGCGUGCUUUAAUUAGGCUUUGCUAUUUUUCAUUUACAUGUUAUAUAUAGGUUAAAUGUGUCGAAGUUUUUAAGGAGUUCUAUCAGACAAAAACCAAGCAUCGGAAGCUUACAUGGAUAUAUUCAUUGGGUACCUGUAAUAUCAAUGGCAAGUUUGAACCUAAAACAAUAGAGCUGAUUGUAACAACCUAUCAGGUUUUCAUCAGAAUUUUUUCCUCUUAAAUUAUUUAAAAUUGGUUGUUCCUACAUUCUUGAAUCAUAAUUAUUUUUUCCCGUCCUACAGGCUGCUGCUCUGCUACUUUUUAAUGCUUCCGACCGAUUAAGUUACUCAGAGAUCAUGUCACAGUUGAAUUUGUCAGAUGAUGACGUCAUCAGAUUGCUCCACUCUCUUUCAUGUGCAAAAUACAAGAUCCUCAACAAAGAGCCUAAUACAAAAAAUAUAUCUCCCACUGAUUAUUUCGAGUUCAAUUCCAAGUUCACAGAUAAAAUGAGGAGGAUCAAGGUAAAGUUUUGCUGUUAACGCUGUGUUCUUGCACCUGUUCUCCUUGAUUGAGUUUUUGAGGUUAUGGCUAUACGCAUACUGCAGAUUCCUCUUCCUCCCGUGGAUGAGAAAAAGAAAGUUAUUGAAGAUGUUGACAAAGACAGAAGAUAUGCAAUUGAUGCUUCAAUAGUGCGCAUAAUGAAGAGUAGAAAGGUUUUAGGUCAUCAGCAACUUGUGAUGGAAUGCGUUGAGCAGCUCAGCCGCAUGUUUAAGGUACCAAGCUCCUCAUUACAAUUGUUUAUUUCUCUUUUGAAGCCAAGAGAUAGUGCAAAUGUGUUUAGACAAUCAUCUCUUUAAAUCGUUAUCACUUUCUUUGACGUGAUUUGAUUAGUCGAUCAAGUUAUAAGUAUCAAAAAACACUUUGUGACGAUAUGGAGGAUGCCAAAUAUGGUACCUAUUAGUAAUCUAGUUGCUAGGUUUAGUCACUGAGAAAAUUGUCCUACGAAUAAUAAAUUGCUGUUUUCUUUGUGCAGCCUGACUUCAAGGCAAUAAAGAAGAGGAUCGAAGACUUGAUCUCUAGAGACUAUUUAGAGAGGGACAAGGACAAUCCGAACACGUUCAGAUACUUAGCCUGAUUAAUAUUUGGAGAAUGUUCUUUAAUCAUCUCUCUACAAAGCCGCCAACAAUAACGCAGAAGCACCCGUUCUGGUGGUAAACUCAUCACUUAAAAUUUCUCGUGCUGCUUGAGAGAUUGAUAUACUUUACAUCGACCCAUGAGCCUUGUUGUACAUUUCCCUCAAACCGAUGUAUGUUUUAUUGCCUAUAAGAAUGUAUGGGUGAAAGCUUCUACAGUCGGAAAUGCUCAGAAUCACUUUUCUUACUGUUGUAAAUCGUCAUUACACUGGCAUACUUCAUUGUUUUUUCUUAACUAGCGUCUUCUACAUCUAUUAAGUCUUCUCUGCUGUAUUUUGUCUAGGUUGGAAAUCUGCUUGUUGCUCUAUAUUUUACUCGACUAGUUACGUAAGUAACUCUUCUCGCACAAUUAUUAUCAAUGUUAUUAUAUAUGCGACUGCAUUUAAUUCCAUUUCUGCUGUUGCUUGGAAUAACUUUCAAUUAUGUACAGCGUUUUACCACCAGAUGGUAUUAUUAUUCUCCUCUAUUAGUGGCUUCUGUUUAGUUUCUUUUGCAGGUUUGAGUUACACCUUGCCCAGUUAAUUGGGCUGAUCCUGGAUUCAAAAUUACAGGUUCAUGAUAAAAUUCUGACUCAAACCCAGUUUUUUUUUUUUUUUUUUUUUUUUUUUUCUCUGGUUGAAGCUUCUAUGUCCGAGGUUUUCAUUUGAUCUGAUCCAACUUGGCCGUCAGUAGCUGUAGGAAUUUGCUUGCCCUGAUGUUUGCGGCGAUUCAUCAAAGAAAGCUUCCACAUUAUCUCCAUUGAGCAAGUCUCUGUGACUCUUCUUCUCUUCUUUUGUUUAUUUUUUCUUAUCUGGGACUGUCACAUAGGAUUAGUUACAGUAAAGAUUCUCUGCACCCUUGAAACAAGAAGUUGCUUAAGUAGGUGCUGCUGGUGCAGAAAACAAACAGUGUUUUGCACCACACUUGUUAGCAGAUUCUUACGCCCACCGCACUCCGGGCUACAAGACAAGCUCCAUGAUUGAUGUGGCCCUGCUUCUCUUCCAAUCGCCAUUAUUCGUUCAUCUGAGUUUCUAUAUUAUUUAGGCCAUUUGCUACCCAUUACCUACUAUAUGGUGCCACUGCCAAUAAUUGUGGGUAUCUUUCGCUGCAAACUACAGGAAAAGUGUCUUUAGAUCCUGUUUACCUGCUCUUCUGCUUUUGUUAUGAACUCUAGUGACCUCUAGUUAUUUGUGAGCGUAAAGAAAAAAAAAAAAAAGAAAAAAGCUGGGAGCUUCUACUGCUGUGAGAAUCUUAAAUGAAUUGUGGACAAGCUAUUGUAGAAAUUUUAGUGAAAGUGCUUUUAGAAGCAAUAUAAAUACUACUGCUUCGACCAGCUCUGUCCGGUGCAGUAGGGCCAAACAGGCCCCAUGGAUUGUCCGUCGGGGAUUUCCGAGAAAAUACUGCUCGAGUAUUAGAUGUUUGAAAGGAUACUGAUUGCUCUUUUAUUAAAAGCGCUUUAAUAGCGUCUCUCUCUCUCUGUAGUCCGCGAGUCGUAUUUUGUUUGUUUUUAACAUCUAAAAGCUUAGCUUUUAUUUUUUGUUGCGGGAAAAGCUUGCUCUGGGCAUUUUGUUUAUCGAGUGCGUGUAGCUUUUUGAAUCACGUAGGGGCGUUUCAAGAGCCAUGCCAAACAGGCCCUUAGAUGAGCUUGAUACCAUCCACUACAGCUUUUUUAUGUUAAAAAAAAAAAAAAUUGAACCCAAUUGCUAACAGAGAAUCACUUAAAUGUCCAGUUACCACCAUUAUAUCUAUUCAAUCUCCACACACUAUAUAAAUACGUCACACGUGCCCCACCCCACCACAGUAUACACGCACAUAAUUAAGAUUUUAGCAGGUGUAUGGUAUAUACUUUGUACAUUGGCUACUUCAAAGACCGCUAAUUUAUGAAAUUAUUAUAGCAAAACAUAAACAAUUGGAUCGUUAUUAUUAGUUAACCUGAAUCUUAGCAAACUCCAGAGUCUUCUUCCCCUGCAGAGCUUGUUGGGGACGUAGUGGCGGCUGUAGUCGCCGUGGUUGUACCUCUUGUACAUGCAGCGCUGGUCCCGGUGCACCAGCUCAGCGCGGGGGCCCACCUCCACGUCAUAGCUGGGCGGCGCAUAGAACGUGACCACGGAGAGCCUGUCCCUCUCUUCGUUGGUCACCGCCCUGUGCUCCACGCUCUUGUGCUUCCCAUUCGUCACCACCUGUUUUGUUUUGUUUUGUUAUUGUUUCGCUUUAUUCAGUAACAAAAUCAUGGGGGAUUUCCAUCUAAUUUUGAUUUUUGGUGUUAUUUACGCAAUGUUUGAUCUGGGCCAGUAAUAAUUAGUGAAUAUAAUAAUAGUUUGGUUUGACCAUUUCUGUAGCGAUCACAGUAAAAAAGAACAUUUAGUUUUAUCAUGUUUGACCACAGCAAGAGGUGUUCUGCUCAAAAAAUUCAUUUUAUUCUCCAACAAAACACUGCUUUAUAAGUAAAAAAUGGCUAAAGUUGAUUAUUUGCUAGAAUAUAUGUAUAUAUAUACGUACCUCAAUGGUGUCUCCAAUGUUGAUCACAAGUGCGUUGGGGAUAGGGUUUACCGGCACCCAGGCGCCGUCCUUGAGGAUCUACAGGCCGGCGCAGGUGGCGUCCUGCUGCAGCACGGUGAGUGCGCUGCCAUCCGAAUGCGAGCUCAGCCCCAGCACGAGGUCGGGCCGCGAGCACGGCGGGUAGUAGUUCAUCGUGCACUGCCUCCCCGAACAUGUCCCCGAAUGUGUUCGGCGCCAGUCCCAGCGUCUCCGCAAUCACGAUCAGCAGCCUCUCGCACAGGUUUCUUAUUCUCGCGGUGUACAUCUCUAGCGUCUCACUGCAGUGAAGAUGAGUUGAAAACGUUAUGGAUUGAGAUUCUUGUGAUUUUCGUUUAUCAUAAACGUUUGUUUCAACAUGUUUACGUGUUGCUGGUGUGGUAAUGAUAAAGUUAUUAUUUAUACGAAGAGAGCACCUAAAGUGAGUAGGGUUUGUAGGCCAGAGGCUAGAGUUUCUGAUGAAGGGAGGCGCCACCCCGAGAGCGAGCAUGUUGCACCAGUCGAGUUUCUGGUCCUCCGAGAAGAUGAAGGCGUGGCCGUAGCCCUGAAUCGUGCCCGGUGCCAUUGGAUACUUCUCCUUUUCUUCCAAAGGAAGCAUGAAGAACUCCCGCGCCACCUUCUCCAUGCCAUCCAUCAGCCACUUCUCCACACCAUGGUUCACGACAUAUAUAUAUAUAUAUAUAUAUAUAUAUAUAUAGAGUGAGGCUACUAUGCUAUCGGAAGCACGGAGCCUUCCGUGCUUCCAGCUCGUUUUCGAUGUUGCGACUUUCGAAUCGUCGAUCGGCUCCGUUAAACUUGAUCUAGAGUAUUUGGAGUACCUAGAAAAUAAAUUUUAUUAUUUUUCGAUAUCAUUUGCCUAGUGAUCGAAUGGGCUCAAAAUCAACAAAUUUCAAUGGCCGUAGUGAGCCGUUUGCAAGUUUAACGGUGUAGAAAUAUCAAAAUCACGUGAAAUUUUGAUAGAAAAUUCUUUAUACUAUAUAAAACAAGAUCAAUAUCUUUGAUUUAAAAUUUUAAUGUCAUAUUAUUACAUUUUGUAAGAUUUUUAUUUUCAGCCGUUGAUUUUGAACCCCUUCGUUCACUAGGCAAAUGAUAUCGUAAAAUCAUAAAAUUUAUUUUCUAGAUACUUCAAAUACUCUAGAUCAAGUUUAACGAAACCGAUCGACGAUUCGAAAGUCGUAACAUCGAAAACGAGCUGGAAGCACGGAAGGCUCCGUGCUUCCGAUAGUAUAGUAACCUCACUCUAUCUAUAUAUAUAUAUAUAUAUAUAUAUAUAUUCAUGUACGAAACAAAGUUCACUAUAUUACAGAGUUCUAUGCUUGCUCACAUUCUAAUAGUUUACUUUUUGUGUCGUACUAAAACAUUCAUAAUUUAUAUUAAACUAAAACAGAUAAAAGAUUGAAACUGCUUACAAAUUUUGUUUCAAAAUAAUAUCUUGCAAACUGUUAAUUAAACUUUAACAAAGCAAAAGUAUAUAGUACAGUUAUAACAGGUGAAUAUCUCCUGUGAUAUUAAUUGCACGACAGAGUUUUACCUGUCAUAAUAAUUCAAUAAGCCAAUUAAUAUAAAUAUAGAGAGAAAGAGAGUUUGGCUAAAAUACUAUUAAUAAUAUUUUAAUUUUUUUGCUAUUUAAUUUUUAACCCUUUCAUGAAAAAUUGUAGGGUUUGAAUGAUGGCGAUUUUUUAAGAUUGAGUGGUGGUCUUUUAGAGUUUAAUAAUUAUUAGUGAAAUAAUAUUAAUUUAAUAGUAAAAAUAAUCAAAAUAAUAGAUUUAAUAGUUAAAAACUAAAUAGCAAACUGACACAAAUACUAUAUGUAUACGGUGUAGAGCUACUAUGUUAUUGGAAGCAUAAAUGAUCUGAUGCUUCCAACUUUUUAACCAUUGGAUCAAAAAAUUAUACGAUUAGAAUGAUUGCGAUCCCUCCAGGUUUGAGUAGUACCCCUAAGGUUGAGUGGUCCCUACAGGUUAAUAGUAUUAAUUCAAAGAUUAGAAAUGAUUAAAGGGAUUGAUCUAAGGGCCAAAAAAUCGGAAGCACCAAAUCCUCUAUACUUCCGAUAACAUAGUAGCUCUACUCUAUAUAUACUAUCGGAAUAUUGUGCUUUCAACUUUUUGGCCCUUAGAUUAAUUUUUUUGAUUAUUUUUAAUUUUUGGAUUAAUACUAUUAUCAUGUGGGGACCACUCAACUCUAACCUCUAGGGUCCUACUCAAUCAUAUAAGACCGUAAUCAUCCCAACCGUACAAUUCUUAAUCUAAGGAUCAAAAAAUUAGAAACGUCAACUCCUCUAUACUUCCGAUAAUAUAUUAACUCUAUAUGUACCUGAAAGAAGCCCCACUCCUCGCAGGCGGCGGCGAGCUUCUUCAGCUCAUCGGCGCCGUGCCAUUUGGAUCCCAGCUUCGACAUGUCGAUGACGGGGACGUCUCCGGGCCCCGCCACCGCUGCUGCAGCAGCAGGGCGCUCCUCGGGGGCGCGGAUGUACCUCUUGGGCACGAACGCGGGACUUAUCCUGUCUAAAGGGAACGUUACAAAUGUGUUGUUGCAAAAGUUAGAAAAAUUUGAAAAUAAAGGAUAAAUUUUUAUCAAGUAUACUCCAAAAAAAAAGAACAUUUUCUUUUGCAAAAGCUUAUUGCAACUUUUCAAAAUUUAUUGCAAUCUUUUCCUUUUGAACAAAUUCUCUAACAUAUUGGGUGGACAAAUUUUGGUAAUUAGAUGACUCUUAGCCAAAUUAAUUAUAUGGAUGUAUUUAUAUAAUUGGAUAAAGGCGUAUGUUAGAGAAUCAAUUUAACUAAGCAAAAGAUAGGUAUAAUUUAACUACAGAUAUAUUUCCGGGCACUUAUUUACCUACAGAUAUAUUUUAUUUUACCCCUCCCAAUUUUUAGAAACCUACAAUUAGCCUUUUUCAUUUUUUAUAUGAUUGGAUAUUUUGUCCCUCUUUUGUUGCUAUUCGUUGUAACGCUCUGUGUUACUGUCAUUUUGAAGGAGAAAAUAAUAACGGCAUAUAAAAAUAUGGAUGUCGAGAGGGCUAAUUAUAAAUUCUUGGAUGGAAGUGUAAUUACCAAACUAACAGAGGCUUUUUUGCAUUUUCCUGCACAGUUCUAACUCGUUGUUUCUUUUUCUUACCAUUUCUAAUUUAAAUUCAUCCCUAAUUCCACGCUCUUUCUUGGUAAUAAAAUAAAAUAAAAAAUAAACCGUAACCUCCCCAAAUUACAAUCGUUCGUCUACAAACCCCGCAGGAGGUGAGGAGAAGAAGACAAGUAAAUGGAGCGGUUAGCGAUUAGGAGCGGAUCGGAGGAAAAGGCGGACCCAAGAUCCGACGGGCUAUGGAUAACGCGGAUAAGGGUGAUCCAUUAACCGCUUGCCUGUUACAGCAGUUGGUGAACUGGGCCGGCCCAAACUCAGGCGAUUGAAUGGAAUUAGCGAUCCAUGAUACAAAGAGUGAUCUCUUUACAAUUCAACCCUCCAAUUUUGUAACAUUUAUAAUUGAAUUCUCGUACUGACACUAUAAAUAGGAAUGGCAUGAAAAGAAUUUGAAUAAACUCCCUUCCUCCUCAAUGCUCUUCUUCCUCUGUGUCUCUCUCUCUUUCUCUCUACUCUUCUACUCUCUUCUCUGUUCUAUCUCUUUUCCUCUCACUCCUCUAAUCCAGAUCUAGAUCUCAUCCCCGACCACUGGUGCUCGAUCUCCAUGGAUGCUUGAUUCAGAUUGAGAUCUGAAUCCAACCCUCUGAGGAGCUCUUUUCCUCGCCUCCUCCCCCGAUUAUUUCCUAAUUCAGGUGCGUAUCCCCAAUUCCUAACUCCUUUUUCGCGCUUGAUCUGAUUACUUGCCUUGGUUGCUCAAAUUCGACGUUCAGAUUGGUUGUUUUAGGGCUCAAUUUGGGCAUUUUUUUUUUCUCUUUUUUGUUGGAUCGAGUAGUCGGGAUUACGGUUCGAGCUCUUUGGUGUUUGUAGGGUAGAAAUUAGGGUUUAUUUCGAUCUUCGGGACGUUGGAGAUCGGGAGCAUGUCGAUGGACGACGAGAGGAAGACGAUCCGUUUGGAGCAGGGAUGGGAGCUCAUUCAGAAGGGGAUCACCAAGCUGAAGAACAGCCUGGAGGGUCUCUCCGAGGAGAAGUUUCGCGCCAAAGACUACAUGAUGCUCUACACGUAUGCUCACUAUCUCCUCCUCCUUGUCUAUUAGGGUUUGCUAAAAUUGUACCUUGAGCUCAUGUUUCUUUGAUUUGUUUUAACUAUGGAUCAGGACUAUCUACGAUAUGUGCACUCAGAAGCCCCCUCAUCGUUACUCGCAACAGCUAUACAACAAGUAUCGGGAGUCGGUUGAGGAGUACAUCACUUCGACAGUGAGGAUGCCUUGCAAACUUUUUUUGUCUACUUUUUUCAACUAUUUUGUUGCACGAAGUGUAGUUGCUCUCUCUUCUUCUUCUUCUUCUUUUUUGUCUGCAUUGUUAUUAAUGUUAUUGUUAGCUAAAUGAGAAGUUAACCUUCUAUAUAUUCACCCUUAUUGGGGUUUAUACUAUUUAUUUGCAAUAGUUCAAACAUUGUCGACAGCCAUUAAUGAGAAUCAGUGAGUAUUGGAAGUUUAGUGGUUCUGUUAUUACUGGUGCUAGUGUGGUCAGCUGAUUCAUGAAGAAUUAGAAGGUUAUCUUUUUCAUUUUUAAGUGUCCUUCUUCUUUUGAAGAUUUUCAUUAGGAAAUUUAGGCUGAUAGCUGUCAUUUAUUGUUUUUGAAGACCUGUAUGAAUUGAGAUACGUAUUGCUUUUCACAUACAUUAUACGUGUAGCCCUGUUCUAUUUUGCUUCUUCUUUCAGUAGUUGACUCUCUCUCUCUCUCUCCUUUUAGAUGUAUCGAUGAUUGUAUUGUAAGCAGCUUGGUUAUUUUCAUUCAGGUGUUGUCAUCUUUGAGGGAGAAAGACGGUGAGUUUAUGCUGAGGGAACUAGUCAAUAGAUGGUCAAAUCACAAAGAAAUGGUCAGAUUGCUCUCACUUUGUUUCCGCCACCUUGAUGACAACUUUGUUACUCAAAAGUCACUCCCUCCGAUUAGUGAAGUUGGGCUUACUUGCUUCCGCAAUCUGGUACGUGAGCUCCUAACUGUAAAAUAUCAUAUAUUUGUUUUGAAAGUUCAUAUCUCCUCGAAGAUUUAGAAGUGGAUUUUGUGUAUGCACAUAAUUGGAGGUUGUUGUCAUUCUUGAGUUCUCGAAUAUUCUGGUUUUUCCUGAAUCGUUGCUGAUUUGUUUUCUGAUAUUCAGGUUUAUCAGGAGAUUUAUUUUAAAGCAAGAGAUGCUGUGAUCUCAUUGGUAAGUCAAAAGUAAAAGAUUUAUGAUGUGCUAUACUUCAGCUUCAUGGAUAUUUUUCUAAUUCAGCAUAAACUAUGCCAAUCAGAUUAAUCAAGAACGUGAGGGCGAGCAGAUUGAUAGAGCUUUGCUCAAGAAUGUAUUAGAUAUUUUUGUUGAAAUUGGGUUGGGUAAGAUGGACUAUUAUGACUUCGAAGCAUACAUGCUUAAACGCACUGCAGCUUAUUAUUCUCGGAAAGCAAAAAGCUGGAUUUCAGAGGACUCCUGUACAGGUUAUAUGCUGAAGGUACUCCUCUUCUAAAAUUUGUUUGGAUGAAAUGCAUUAUUAAGCUAUCCUUAGUUUGGUAAUAAUGACCUUUUUUACUUGUUUCAGGCUGAGGAGUGUUUGAAACAGGAGAAAGACAGAGUUUCGCAUUACUUGCAUUCAAGUAGUGAACCAAAGCUUUUGGAGGUUUGUUCUUGUUUAAUAGUCCUUUGCAACCCUCUCUCUGUAAGUCAUGUUUACUAGAACUUGACUGAACAAUCACCUGAGUACUGGCCUGCUUGUUAGGUCAAUGGUCAAAUCUAUUAGUUAAGCGAUUAACUAGUUGAUUUAAUGAAAGAUAAGAUCAUAACAUUGGUACUGAGCAGAUUCGGUAUAAAGAUGAGCAUUCUCCACUUGUUUCCAUUCUUGGCAGUUGGCACUCGGNGAGAGAGAGAGAGAGAGAGAGAGAGAGAGAGAGAGAGAGAGAGCUACUAUACUCUUAUGAGUACGAUGGACCUGCUCAUAAGUCAUUUUCGAUGAUGAAGUUUCCGAAUCGAUGAUCCAUACUAUUAAACAUGAUUUAGAGUAUUUGAAACUUUUAGAAAUUAAAUUUCAUAAUUUUUCAACAUCAUUUACCUUACGAUCAAAAGAUAUAAAAAUUGACAAUUUUUAACGGCCGGUAUAGUUGAAUUUUUGAUAGAAAAUUUUAUUCACUAUCUAGAUAGAGAUCUAUAAUUUUGAUCAUAAAUUGAAAAAUCCGAUCAUCUAUUUUUAGAAGGUAAUUCAAUUUUGAUUAUUUAUUUUAUGUCCAUUUGAUAGACUAUUAUAAUUUUAAAAAACUAUGAAAUUAGUUUUCUAGAAGUUUCAAAUGUUCUAAAUUAUAUUUAACGGCAUGGAUCGUCAAUUCGGAAGCUCUAUCAUCGAAAACAACUUAUGAGUAUAAAGAGCUCUAUACUCAUAAGAGUAUAGUAGCCCUACUCUCUCCCUCUCUCUCUCUCUCUAUAUAUAUUUCCUUACACUCAUUUUGAUUAAUUAACAGGAAGAAACUUCUUGAGAUAGAGCAUUCCGGAUGUCAUGCGUUGCUCCAGGAUGACAAGGUUCGUAGAUAUUUCUUCCAAAAUGAGUGUAGAUUCUGUUUCAUUAGCCCAAUUGUCUAAAAACUUAAAAUUGUCUUGUACUUGUUAGGUGGAUGAUUUGUCGAGGAUGUACAGACUCUUUUCUAAAAUAAAUCGUGGUCUGGACCCAAUUGCUCAGAUAGUUAAGCAGGUUGCUCAGAUUUUUAAGCAGGUUAGUAUAAGUGCAAAUUUGUUAAAAUAGUCUAAUGUUUUUCUUUACAGUUUACUGAGAUUUAUCAAAAACUUUUGUCCUGCAGCAUGUUACCGCGGAAGGUACAGCUUUGGUCAAACAAGCAGAAGAUGCCGCAAAUAAUAAGAAGGUCAGUAGUCUACAAAUACUUUUUCAACCGAACAGCUUAUUUUCUUUAAAAUAUUUUAUUUUCAUUCUUCGAAGAAUUUCUUGCAAAUCUUUUGUUAUGAAAACUGCCAUUGCAAUCUAGUGUUUGUAUGAAGUCUUGUUCAGUUGCUUACGUAUUCUUGCUAACUCUAUUUUGUAUAGUGCCCUAAAACUUUGAUGAAUUGCAAUUCUCUAUGUUCUUCCAUUUAGCUAGAGUUGUUUCAAAAUUAGCUCAUAUGCUGGCCUAAUCACGGGACUUGCCUGGCUAGUCUGUGCUCUUAACGCUCAAUAGCAUGUUGAUAAUUCAUCAAGCAAGUUGUUUAUCAAACUCAAGCUACUGAUUUCAAGUUGCUUCUGGCAUGUAUUCUUGAUUACUGUUUGUAUAUUUGUUUCCUAGCAUUUAUUACUUUUACCAACUUGCAGUGUAUAUACAUUUUUAUAUUUCUGUUCUUUCUCGUGAUAUGGGCUAACAUAUGUUUCCUACAGGCUGAGAAAAAAGAUUUAGUUGGUUUACAAGAACAGGUUAGAUUUCUUAUUUGCAGCUCAUACAAGUACUAUGGUUACUUUAAAAUGCAAGUUUAUUGACGGAACUAUCUGGUUGUAGGUUUUUGUUAGAAAAAUCAUUGAGCUUCAUGACAAGUAUUUGGCAUAUGUAAAUAACUGCUUCCAGAACCACUCGCUCUUUCAUAAGGUGCGUAUAGAAAUUUUUCCUCUUAUAUAAGGGUAUGUUUUCGUCUUUCUUCCCUAAAUAUGCUUGUUCUCAUCAGGCAGUAAAGGAGGCUUUUGAGGUCUUCUGCAACAAGGGAGUUGCAGGUAGUGCAAGUGCUGAACUUCUAGCUACCUUCUGUGACAAUAUACUUAAAAAAGGUGGAAGCGAGAAAUUGAGUGAUGAAGCUAUCGAGGAGACCCUUGAGAAAGUAAUUGACUUUUCAACUGCCUUUUGAUUUUUCUAAUAAUUUGACCUUGAAAUAUAUCAUGUGAACAAUCUCUCGCAGGUUGUGAAGCUGCUUUCAUAUAUUAGCGAUAAGGAUCUUUUUGCUGAGUUUUACAGGUAGAAGUCUUAUGCCGUCACCCUUUGAAUUAGUAAUUUGUUUUUACUUUAAUCUGGCUUAUAUAUAUAUAUAUAUAUAUAUAUAGAGAGAGAGAGAGAGAGAGAGAGAGAGAGAGAGAGUUCGGCUACUAUUCCUUUUUGAGUACGAUGGACCUGCCCAUAAGUCAUUUUCGAUGAUGGAGUUUCAAAUCGAUGAUCCAUACUAUUAAACAUGAUUUAGAGUAUUUGAAACUUUUAGAAAUUAAAUUUCAUAAUUUUUCGACAUCAUUUACCUUACGAUCAAAAGAUAUAAAAAUUGACAAUUUUUAAUGGCUGGUAUGGGAUGCUCGCAAUUUUAACGGUGUAAAAGAAUCAAAAUCAGUCGAAUUUUUGAUAGAAAAUUUUAUUCACUAUUUAUAUAGAGAUCUAUAAUUUCGAUCAUAAAUUGAAAAAUCCGAUCAUCUAUUUUUAGGAGGUAAUUCCAUUUUGACCGUUUAUUUUAUGUCCAUUUGAUAGACUUUAUUAUAAUUUUUAAAAACUAUGAAAUUAGUUUUCUAGAAGUUUCAAAUGUUCUAGAUUAUAUUUAACGGAAUGGAUCGUCAAUUCGGAAGCUCUAUCAUCGAAAACAAUUUAUGAGUACAAAGAGUAGCCGUACUCUCUCUCUCUUUCUAUAUAUGUAUAUUUCCUUACACUCAUUUUGAUUAAUUCACAGGAAGAAACUUGCCCGAAGGUUGCUAUUUGAUAAAAGUCCUAAUGAUGACCAUGAGCGUAGUAUUUUGACAAAGCUAAAGCAGCAGUGCGGAGGGCAAUUUACCUCAAAAAUGGAGGGCAUGGUAUGCUUACAAAUUUUAUUAUUUUCUUUCUAUUAGAAGGUUUUUUACAGUUUCCUUCCUUCUCAGGUAACUGAUUUAACUCUUGCAAGAGAAAACCAAUCAAGCUUUGAAGAAUAUCUAAAUAGCAAUCCUCUGGCAAGUCCUGGAAUUGACCUUACAGCGACUGUUUUAACGACUGGGUUUUGGCCUAGUUAUAAAUCCUUUGAUCUUAAUCUCCCUGCCGAGAUGGUACAGACUCGGUCCUUUUUACUUCUUUUAGUUUCUAAUUAUGGAAUUGAAGUGUGCUUUAAUUAGGCUUUGUUAAUUUUCAAUUAUAUGUUAUAUAUAGGUUAAAUGUGUCGAAGUUUUUAAGGAGUUCUAUCAGACAAAAACCAAGCAUCGGAAGCUUACAUGGAUAUAUUCAUUGGGUACCUGUAAUAUCAAUGGCAAGUUUGAACCUAAAACAAUAGAGCUGAUUGUAACAACCUAUCAGGUUUUCAUCAGAUUUUUUUCCUCUUAAAUUAUUAAAUUGGUUGUUCCUACAUUCUUGUAUCAUAAUUAUUUUUCCCCGUCCUACAGGCUGCUGCUCUGCUACUAUUUAAUGCUUCCGACCGAUUAAGUUACUCGGAGAUCAUGUCACAGUUGAAUUUGUCAGAUGAUGACGUCAUCAGUUUGCUCCACUCCCUUUCAUGCGCAAAAUACAAGAUCCUCAACAAAGAGCCAAAUACGAAAAAUAUAUCUCCCACUGAUUAUUUCGAGUUCAAUUCCAAGUUCACAGAUAAAAUGAGAAGGAUCAAGGUAAAGUUUUGCUGUUAACGCAGUUUUGCUGUUAACGCAGUGUUCUUGCACCUAUUCUCCUUGAUUUAGUUUUUGAGGUUAAUGGCUAUACACAUACUGCAGAUUCCUCUUCCUCCCGUGGAUGAGAAAAAGAAAGUUAUUGAAGAUGUUGACAAAGACAGAAGAUAUGCAAUUGAUGCUUCAAUAGUGCGCAUAAUGAAGAGUAGAAAGGUUUUAGGUCAUCAGCAACUUGUGAUGGAAUGCGUUGAGCAGCUCAGCCGCAUGUUUAAGGUACCGAGCUCCUCAUUACAAUUGUUUAUUUCUCUUUUGAAGCCAAGAGAUACUGCAAAUGUGUUUAGACAAUCAUCUCUUUUAACUCGUUUUCACUUUCUUUGAUGUGAUUUGAUUAGUCCAUCAAGUUAUAGGUAUCAAAAAACACUUUGUGACGGUAUGGAGGAUGCCAACUGUGGUACCUAUUAGUAAUCUAGUUGCUAGGUUUAGUCACUGAGAAAAUUGUCCUACGAAUAAUAAAUUGCUGUUUUCUUUGUGCAGCCCGACUUCAAGGCAAUAAAGAAGAGGAUCGAAGACUUGAUCUCUAGAGACUAUUUAGAGAGGGACAAGGACAAUCCGAACACGUUCAGAUACUUAGCCUGAUUAAUACUUGGAAAAUGUUCUUUCAUCAUCUCUCUACAAAGCCGCCAACAAUAAUGCAGAAGCACCCGUUCUGGCGGUAAACUCAUCACUUAAAAUUUCUUGUGCUGCUUGAGAGUUUGAUAUACUUUUACAUCGACCCAUGAGCCUUGUUGUACCCAGAGGAAUUCUACACUGUCAUACUUGCACCACGUCAUCAAUAACAAGCCAAUCACAUUCCUUCUUUUCAAACAAAAGUACAAUAAAAAUACUUUUUUACAAUCAUGAUGGGACAUAUAUUCUUAAAAGGAUUAAUUUGAUUGGUUUGUUACGCCACGUCACUAAUAUACCCGUUGCAUUCUAGAAUUUUUCGUUGUACCCAUCACCUACUAUUAGGUGUCACUGCCAAUAAUUGUAGGUAUCUUUCGCUGCUAACUACAGGAAAAGUGUCUUUAGAUCCUGUUUACCUACUCUUCUGCUUUUGUUAUGAACUUUAGUGACCUCCAGUUACUUGUGAGCGUAAAAAAAAAAGAAAAGAAAAGCUGGGAGUUUCUGCUGCUGUGAGAAUCUUAAACGAAUUGUGGACAAGCUAUUGUUGAAAUUUUAGUGAAGUGCUUUUAGAAGCAAUAUAAAUACUACUGCUUCGACCAGCUCUGUCCGGUACAGUAGGGCCGAGCAGGCCCCAUGGAUUGUCCGUCGGGGAUUUCCGAGAAAAUACUGCUUGAAUAUUAGAUGUUUGAAAGGAUGCUGAUUGCUCUUUUAUUAGAAGCGCCUUAAUAGCGUCUCUUUUUGUAGUCCGUGAGUCAUAUUUUGUUUUCUUUUAACAUCUGAAAGCUUAGCUUUUAUUUUUUUGUUGCCUGAAAAGCUUGCUCUAGGCAUUUUGUUUAUCGAGUGCGUGUAGCUUUUUGAAUCACGUAGGGGUGUUUCAAGAGCUAUGCCAACCAAACAGGCCCUUAGAUGAGCUUGAUACCAUCCACUACAGCUUUUUUAUGUUAUACAAAAAAAUUUGAACCCAAUUGCCAACAGAGAAUCACUUAAAUGUCCAGUUACCACCAUUGUAUCUAUUCAAUCUCCACAGACUAUAUAAAUACGUCACACGUACCCCACCCCACCACAGUAUACACGCACAUAUUUAAGAUUUUAUCAGGUGUAUGGUAUAUACUUUGUACAUUGGCUACUUCAAAGACCGCUAAUUUAUGAAAUUAUUAUAGCAACACAUAAACAAUUGGAUCGUUACUAUUAGUUAACCUGAAUCUUAGCAAACUCCAGAGUCUUCUUCCCCUGCAGCUUGUUGGUGACGUAGUGGCGGCUGUAGUCGCCGUGGUUGUACCUCUUGUACAUGCAGCGCUGGUCCCGGUGCACCAGCUCGGCGAGGGGGCCCACCUCCACGUCAUAGCUGGGCGCGUAGAACGUGACCACGGAGAGCCUGUCCCUCUCCUCGUUGGUCACCGCCCUGUGCUCCACGCUCUUGUACCUCCCAUUCGUCACCACCUGUGUUGUUAUUGUUUCGCUUCAUUGAGCAACAAAAUCAUGGGGCAUUUCCAUCUAAUUUUGAUUUUUGGUGUUAGUUACGCAAUGUUUGAUCUGGCCCAGUAAUAAUUAGUGAAUAAUGAUAGUUUGGUUUGACCAUUUCUGAAGCGAUCACAGUGAAAAAAAAAACAUUUACUUUUACCGUGUUUGGCUACAUCAAGAGGUGUUCUGCUCAACGAAUUCAUUUUAUUCUCCAACCAAACACUGUUCUAUAAGUCAAAAAUGUGUGCGCUAAAGUUAAUCAUUUGCUAGAAUAUAUAUAUAUAUAUAUAUAUAUAUAUAUAUAUAUAUAUAUUUGUACCUCAAUGGUGUCUCCAAUGUUGAUCACUAGUGCGUUGGGGAUCGGGUUUACCGGCACCCAGGUGCCGUCCUUGAGGAUCUGCAGGCCGGCGCAGGCAGCGUCCUGCUGCAGCACGGUGAGCGCGCUGCCGUCCGACCGCCUGCACCGCCUCCCCGAACAUGCCCCCGAACGUGUUCGGCGCCAGCCCCAGCGUCUCCGCAAUCACGAUCAGCAGGCUCUCGCAUAGGUUUCUUAUUCCCGCGGAGUACAUCUCUAGCGUCUCGCUGCAGUGAAGAUGAGUUGAUAAUGUUAUUGAUUGAGAUUCUUGUGCUUUUCGUUUAUCAUGGACGUUCAUUUCGAACUUUUACAUCAUCAACUAGGAUAACUGUAACGAUCCAGCCCACUAGCAACAAUAACUCGUGACAACCUCUUUCCCAUCCGAUGUGGGACUCACAAACUUCUCCUGCAUUAAGGCCCUGACGUCCUCGUUAGUCCAAUCACAUACACAGCCCAAGAUCACCAAGUGAUGUGGGACUCGUCUCGCUAGCCCGUCAUCCAAACUCUGGCUCAGUCGAGAUUCACCACACAUGUCCAGUUGGUGAACCGGCUCUGAUACCAAAUGUAACGACCCAGCCCACUAGCAACAAUAACUCGUUGGGCCCAACCACCGGCCCAAAAUGUUUAAGCCCAGUUAUUAUUACUAGUGUCUAAGUCUCUUAUAAACCCAAUGACAACCUCUUUCCCAUCUGAUGUGGGAUUAUUGGGGUGUCACAAUAACGCGCUGUGCUUAUGUGUUGCUGGUGUGGUAAUAAUAAAGCUGUUUAUACAAAGAGAGCACCUGAAGUGAGCAGGGUUUGUAGGCCAGAGGCUAGGGUUUCUGAUGAAGGGAGGCGCCACCCCGAGAGCGAGCAUGUUGCACCAGUCGAGUUUCUGGUCCUCUGAGAAGACGAAGGCGUGGCCGUAGCCCUGAAUCGUGCCCGGCGCCAUCGGAUACUUCUCCUUUUCUUCCAAAGGAAGCAUGAAGAACUCCCGCGCCACCUUCUCCAUGCCAUCCAUCAGCCACUUCUCCACACCGUGGUUCACGACCUAUAUAUAUAUAUAUAUAUAUAUAUAUAUAUAUACAGGUAUGCACAUUUAAACAACUCAUUAAUUCUCUUGAGUUUGUCUCUCACAUAGGAAACAAAGUUACAAUAAGAGAUGACCAUAUUAUAAGAGUUCUAUGCUUGCUCGCAUUCUAUAAUUUACUUUUUGUGUCGAACUAAAACAUUCGUAAUUUAUAUUAAACUUAGAAAAGAUAACAGAUCGAAACUACUUACAAAUUUUGUUUCAGAAUAAUAUCUUGCAAACUGUAAACUUCAGCAUAGGAAAAGUAUAUACUACAGUUAUAACAAGUGAGUAUAUACUGUGAUAUUAAUUGCAUGAGAGAGUUUUACCUAUCAUAAUAAUUCUGUAAGCCAAUUAUAUGUAAGUAUAGCGAGAGAGAUUGCCUAGAAUACUGUUAAUAAUAUUUUGAUCUUUUUGCUAUCCAGUUUUUAACCUUUCGAGAAAAACUUAUAGAAUUGAAAUGAGAGUGAUCCUCGAUCCAAAAUUGAGUGGCGGUCUUUCUAGAGUUUAAUAAUUAUUAGUAAAAUAGUAUUAAUUCAAUAGUAAAAAAUAAUCAAAAUAGUAGAUUUAAUUAACGGUUAAAAACUAAUACAAUUAUAUAUAUAUAGAGAGAGAGAGUUGAGCUAGAAUACUCUUACAAGUACCGAGGGAUUGGUGUUUUUGAGUAUUUUUUAGCUAUUGGAUGAAGAGAUGUAAGGUUGAGAUAAUGAUGACAGGUGAUGAUAGAUAAAAUUUUAUAUAUAUAUAUAUAUAUAUACCUGGAAGAAGCCCCACUCCUUGCAGGCGGCGGCAAGCUUCUGCAGCUCAUCGGCGGCGUGCCAUUUGGAUCCCAGCUUCGACAUGUCGAUGACGGGGACGUCUCCGGGCCCCACCACCGCUGCCGCAGCAACAGCAGCAGGGCGCUCCUCGGGGGCGCGGACGUACCUCUCGGGCACGAACGCGGGACUGACCCGACGGAGCUCCUGGAUGUCCUCCACGUGCCCGAUCCUGACGGCCGCGGGGCUCUCGCCGCACAGCACCGGCGCCAUCGAUCAAAAGAGCAAGAGCUUUAAGAUUUGUGCUCUGAGAUAGGCGCUACUGCUGAUAACAAAGUGUGUACUUUGGUCCUUGGGAAUAUUGGAGGAAACUUCACGUGUAUAUAUAUAUAUAUAUAUAGGUAAAAAGGAGGUUUAAUUGGUUUCGCCCGUUCAUUUCACUUUUAAAUUUAAUUGGUUUGGGACAAAAAAAAACAAAAAAAACAAAAAAAAUUGGUUGGAAAGUUUAUUCAAAUUUGUUGUGGCUGUUCUAUAUUUAUUAUUUGAGAAGGUAUUAACAUUCGAAUAAAAAUUUUAAAUUAAAGUUAAAUUUUUAAAAUUUGUAUGCAAAAUAAAUUACAUGACUACAUAAUUAAUUUUGCUCUCCGGUUUGGGAUCGAGGAGUCAUUGGGUGGGCGUGGUUUUGGUCAAUUGGUGUAAUUAUGGGGAGAGUGCAUGCGUGUGCGUGGUGGCUCAGCAAGUUGAUUCUUUUCUUCUUUUCUUUUCUGUUUUUUUUUUUGGGUCAAGUAUGGUGGAGUGCUGUGUAGGGGCUUCUUUUUUCUUUUUCUUUUUUCUUGUCAGAUUAAUUUAUUAGCAAUCAUGUAAAUCCAUCUGAGACAUCUUAGGAAGAGUACUUACAAACUGAGCUAGUAGUUGGACCUCUUAAAUAAUUUUUUUCUUUCUUUGAUCAAGAAAAGAAUAGCAGGUUAUUUGUUUCAUUCAUUAGAAAGAUGUACUGAGUAAUAUAGAUGAGGCAACAUAAGUCUCGGAGUGUGUGAAAAAGAAAUACUACUAGUUACAACAACGUCGAUCUGUAGACAGAGACAACUCCCGACGAUCAAAUAAAUGUUUAAUCUUAUAGACUGCUAUUAGCUAGUUGAUUGAGCUGGAUCUUACUAAAUAUCACACCGUCCCUUGCCUCCCAUAUAAGCCACCAGCAAGCUACCAGACCGGAUAUAUAACUUAGUACUCAUAGACUGUGAUCCUUUCUUGCUUAGGAGAUCGAGCAAAGAUCAUAACUAAUAUUGUUGAAAUGUGACUCUAGCCCUUUAAAAUAUACAGUUGGUACCAGGCUAUUAAGAAUGAUUAUCCGUGUCUGAAAAUCCUUUCUUGAUUAAUAAGAAGAUAGUUAUGUGGGAAAGUGAAAAUCUCNUUCAAAGCGUGAUUGGGGGAGGGUUUUUUUUUUUUUUUUUUUUUUUUUUUUUUUUUUUUUUUUUUUUUUGGUUUUGAGAGAGAGGUAACCUCACGCUACCUGUUUCGUUUAUUUCAUUUAGAAAUAAACUUAGCUGGAAAUGUGAAUCAACUAGGAUUCAAACUUGAAUCUUGAAUACCAACCAUAAGUCUUUUGUCGCUUGCUCUAGAGACAGUCGGUAUUAGAGACAGAAUUAUUAUUUUACAUUGUAGGAGAGCAGAAGCCUCGGUCCCCAGUCUAUGGCUAGUAGAGAGCAAGAUCUCAAUGACAGUGAUUGUACAUAAUUUGACAACAGAGAUGGUGUUGGUCAUGGAAUCAAAAAAGCAAAUGCUAGUAGUGGUGGUGGUGGUGGUGGUGGAGUUAAUGGCAUGCAGAGGAGGAAUCUUUGAGGAGAAAGUAGAUUUGGGAUCUCACCCUGACCCUUCCAGUAAGAUAAUCUACCCACUCUCUCUCUCUCUCUCUCUCUCUCACAAAAUAGGGUUAAUUACACUAGUAGUCCCCAACCUUUCCACCAAUUUUCACCUGGAUUCCCAAUCUUCUUUUUUUUUUUGCAAUUGAGUUUCUAAUCUCUUGGUUUCAUUUCAAUUAAGUCUCAGCCGUUAAAUAUGUGUUAAAAUUGACGAAAAAUACCACGUCGGCACCAUGUCAGCACGACGGAGACGCCAUGUCAGCGCCACGGUGACGUUGUGUCGGCGGAUUGCAAAAAAAAGAAAGGUUAGGGGCCAAAUUGAACGACGCUGACAUGGCGUCACCGUGGGAUCCCCAAUCUUUCUUUUGCAAUCCGCUGACACAACGCCACCGUGACGCCGACAUGACGCCUCUAUGGCAUUGACAUGGUGCUGACGUGGCAUUUUUCGUCAAUUUUAACACUUAUUUAACGGAUGAGACUUAAUUGAAAUGAAAUAAAGAGAUUAGGAACUCAAUUGCAAAAAAAAAAAAGGUUGAGGACCCAAAUAAAAAUUGCUGGAAAGGUUGGGGACGGCUGGUGUAAUUAACCCCUCAAAAUAAAAACUCAAAACCAAAGCCCAAUUGGAAACAGCUGUUUGCAAGCCCCCGACAAGACUUAGUGAUGGACAUAUAAAACCUCAAGCUCACCAAACACACUUUGUUGAGGAACUUCCUGAUCUACUAUCACCUAUAAAUUUUUAUCUCUAUUCAAUAAUUCGUUGAGAUAUAUUCUUAAUAAUAAAAUUCUCAAAAAUAUUUCGACUUUAAAGGAAAGAAUUAUAAUUUCUCAAUAAAGCUAAAAGUAACACAUAGUGACAAAUUAAGGUUACUAAACAAGGUAUCAUUAGGGGGAGCUCCGAUUGAAGUUUUUUUCCGUGAUCAACUGAUGGUGUUGCAUGUUUGGUGCUUUUGCAUAUUUAUUUAUUAUGCAACAAUUCAGAAAAGACAAGGAAAAAAAAAAAAAACAAUGCUAUUCAUAUGUACAUCUCAGAACUAGGUACACAUUUUACAUCUCGUUCAUUCAAAAUACUUUAUAUUCUACUUUUUUAUUAAAAAAUUUCAACUAAAUAUUCAAAAAAAAAUUGUAAAUACUAGGAUACACAUAUGAGAUGUAAAAUAUNUCAUCAAGAACAUUUUGAUAGGACAAGUGCUCCUAUCCUAUUAAUAGGAUAGUAGCUCUAGCAUAUAUAUAUAUAUAUAUAUAUAUAUAUAUAUAUAGUCCAGCUACUAUGCUAUUAAUAGCACGAAGCACUUGGUGCUAUCAAGUUUUCUACCGUUAGAUCUAUCAUUUUGAUCAUUUUCACCAGCUAGAUCAUAUUAUUUAACCAACCAGCCACUCAACCCUAGAGAGGUCAUAUUAUCCUAACCGCACAUCUCCUAAUCUAAUGGUGAAAAAUUUGGUAGCACCAAUAACUUAGGUGCUAUUAAUAGUAUAUUAACCUAGUUCUAUAUAUAAUAUUUUUUAUAGGAAAAUGCUGUUUAUAUACUCCAUAGAGGUGUAUAUCUUGCACCCUCGAAUUGGUGAAUCCAAGAGCUCAACCGUGAAUAAAUGUGAGGCACAAAGAGACUAGGAUAUAAACUUUAUAUAUAAAUAUUAUAGGGCGUAGGCAUAGCGUUGCUCGUAUUUUGGUAUCUUUUACCAUAUCUCGUUGCUUCUUAAUUACGAUGUCUCAUGGUGUAUUUUUGAGCUAUAGGAUCCGAAUUAAGUGCAUUUCCUUGCUUUAGUGUAAGUACCUUAACUCACCUUUAAUUAAUUAGCAGGCAUUAAUUCAGGUGGCUUAGCGACCUUUCACUCUUUUAUGAUUUCUCAUUAAUAUAAUUUGUACUUUAACUUCACUUUAAUUAGUAGGCAUUAAUUUAUACGGGUCUUCGACUGUUAUAACUCUUCAUUAAUAAAAUUUCGAAGAUGAUACCUCACUAACUCAUGGAGCAAAAACACCAUUUCAACGUAGAUGAUUUGUUAUCUUAGUUUAACAAGGAAUUGUAGUCCAACAAUUGAAGGAAAUAACCAUAAAUAUCUUAACAAAAUAUAUAUAUAUAUAGAAACGUGGAUAUAUAAAUAAAUAACUAAAUAAAUAACCAGCUUCCACUUACUACUACUAUGGAAGGACAUUAGUGGGGCAGGUGAAGAGACUGGUCAACAACACAACACAAAGAAAAUAAAAAAUAAUAAUUGUAAUAAUAGUAAAAGGAAAAAAGAAAAAGAAAAAGUGAGGGCCCAAAUGGUUAUGUGGAUACAAAGAGGCGUGACCGAGUGAAGGAGUGGGUGCUAAAUGCUAAAGCUUACGUGGGAUCUUUGAAUCUCACUGCAUUUUGAGCCGUUCUUUCCUCUGCAGUAUCCUCCACCGUCCAUUAAUUCUUCCCCCUUUUGAUUGAUUGAUUGAUUGAUUGAUUAAUAUAAUAUUUUCUACCAAAGUUCGAUAAACUUUUUUAUAAAUGAUGCCAAAAUAUGAUCUUCUGCAUCAGGAAGUUCUACCGAUCAGACGUUAAGCAUUCGCAUUCGGGUGUAGCGUCAAUAAUAAAAUUAGACGAAAUUACAUGAAUACAUUUCGACUAAUUAAUAAAAUUAUAAUAGCCCUAAAUUUGUCUUAUGAUUAUUAUGAGCUUUAUUAUACAAUAUGACAACACUUGAUGGACAAAUAAAGCAGGCUUUGUACACAUUAAAUUCCGCGGUUUAGUAGUGGAAUAGUAAUUUUUCUGUUCUAAGAAGCAACAACAAGGAAUAAAGCAACGAAAAUGCCUAGGCCUCGAUUCAAUGGAGAGCUACAAAUACUCCAUAUAAUAUGCUAAAACUGUUCUGCCUGUAACACUCCUAAAUGGUGAGAACCAAAAUUAAACUUAAAACUUCUCGUAAAGCUCAAGAGAAAGCAAUACAAUUUUACAUGCAAACCGUCUAUAGUUGGAAAUAAACUAACGCAGUGCCUGGAUUGUUCUAUUGUAAAUGUGAAUUGAUCCGAUUCAUUAACGUUUAUGUACAUCAUUGGUGAAGGUAGUCCGCUUCAGAAGUGUCGUAACGAGAUCGCCUAUUUGUGCUUAAUCCACACAAAUCCGUGCUCUCUACAUCUUUCGCUAGCAGAAACUCACUAUGCCAAUCCGAAAACAGCGAAGCAAUGUGCAAUCAGCGGCUGUCAAAUUUGGUCAAAAAUGAAUAAGAUUUUCUAGUUCGCGUUCACGAUUCAUUUGAAAAAACCAAAAUAAGAUGCUAUCCUACUAGUAUUAAGACGUAGCAACCGUAUAAAAUAGUGAACAAUACGACAAGGAUUCAAUUCGCACAGCUAUUCUUUUUGUUUUUUCCCUUUUCAUCAUGCGGCCUAUACUGUACCACUACUACAUGAUCAUAUUAAAAGAUUCCUAUUAAGCUAGCAUGUCAAUGUGAACUUAUACGGUGAUGCUUUCUAAAAAAUUGUUUCAUAUAAACAGUAUCGUAGGAACUUUUACCUAGCAUGUCAAUGUGAACUUAUACGGUGAUGCUUUCUAAAAAAUUGUUUCAUAUAAACAGUAUCGUAGGAACUUUUACCUGUUGUGAUGUUGACGCAGCGCCAAUGAGACAGUGAAAGUAGUACUCUAGCUUUUAUUAGCAUCAUAAUUGAGAUUUUAACUGGCUUCCUCCACCCUGUUCCGCACAUUAUAGGAGAUAAGCUGUCAACAUACAGAACUGAAAGAUAAGGCACUACAUUGCAGAUACUGUUCGGGGAAAAUAUAUACCUGUUCGGAGAGUAUUAGAACCGCAACUAUUAAUGGAUAAUAACAUAAAAGGGACAAUGUUAUACGUAAUAUUUACAGGCUGCCACAAGUUUCUCUCAGACACAACCGCUUAAUAUAUUGAUCAUGUCUCCCAGAAUGGAGAAAACAACCUACAAAACAUAAAUGAGGAUCAGUUAGUCAACAAUGGAUUCAGUUAUAAUAUCUGCAAAUGAAAAUAAGCUUUCUUAUAUGAGAAAUCUUAUGAAAUAGGGAGGACAUCACAUACCAUAAUCUCCAAAGUCAAUUUCGCACAACUCCAUAAAUAUUUCUUUGUGGUGAUACAUCUCAUGUAGGAACAAAAUGAGCUUAACAGAACAUAAUUGGUUAUUACUUUGUGCAUCACUUCCCAUGAGGAUAAUAUAUAUACAGUUGCCAAAAGUUUAUACUCGUACUGAAGAGACUUAUACAACCUCGCUUGUGGUGUGAUCUUCACACAUCCUGUCUAUAGUCAAACCAUUUCACUUUCAGCAUCUCUGAUAUCACUUUAUCCAUGCUAUAAUUCAUUUUAUUGAGGGCCGCAAAGAAUACUUUCUAGAUAUUAAACACCCAUCUCUAUGUACAUUUUUACAGGAAGUUCGCCGCUGAAGCCCAACCUCUUAAAGAAGUGAAAUUAAACGAAAUUCCACAUUUUGCCUCACUGUGCAGCGAAUAGGAGAGGCAAGAAGCAACGAGAGAAAUAUCCUACAGCUUCUAUUCACAGGGUUCAUGUUUCCUCAAUCUUUUCAAAAGCUUAUCUAGUGAUGGACUCCAGUGAAAGGCGUACACGCUGCAGUAGCCCUUUAACAUUGUGGAAAUUGAAAUCGAUAACUUCUCUUAUGGAGAUGAUGCUGUCAGCCCCAUCCUUUUCAUUGCUGGCAAUAGCCGCAGCAAUAGCAGCCUGUGAUUUUCUAGUAGCUUCGAAUGCACAAUUCAGAUCAUUUGUCUGCAAUCAGAUUAAUUCAACGAUGAAUCAAUUCUGAAGUAUCCAGUAACCAAAACAAUCAAUAAAAUUGCACUACAUAAUUAAAAUUGCCUUUCAUAGGAAUAACAGAGAGGAUGACGAUAGUGCAGGACAAUGAGCUCAAAUGCUUGCUUGGCCUUGCAGGGCUUUUGCAGCAAGCGCUUUCUUGGGAAGAGUUAAUUGAAGAAGUACUAACAGUUUUUCUAUCAGAACCCCCUAUUAAUAGCGGGAGAAGUAGCUUCAAAAUGAAGCUUCUACUAUUGGGGCACAAAAACUCAUUGUAGCUUUCCUACCAGAGAAAAAGCUCCAGAUAUUUAGUUUGCCAAACACCUAGCUAAAGCUUCUCAAAAUAUAGAAGACAUUCCGGAAAGCUAGAUCAAAUAGAAACCAAGCAAAGAAAAGGAAACUUCCAAAAAAUAGCUCUUCGAUGGUUCAUGCAAGAUAUUUAUAUUAUGAGCUUGACUUAGCACAGCCCAGAACGAAAAAGAACUGAAAUCAGCCACUUCGCAUAAAAAACGAACUAUUGUUGUAUUACCAAAAGUUUUAAAUGAUAUAGAUGUAUCUUGGACCAUAUAAAAAUUAAAUAGAGCAACUUACAUAAGCAAGCAACCGGAUCAGAUUGUGAUGGUUACGAGUAGCUACAUGAUUGCCAGCAACUUGAGGAGAAUUUACACCCUUGGCAGCAGAAGCAGCCUUACUUGCUGUACACUGGUUAUUUAAAUUAUCUACAUCUGAAGCAGAGGAUGAUGGAGACUCUCCUGCAAAAAUAACAGAUAGCAGAGAGAAGUAAGUCAAUGGGAAAAGCGGUGACACAUUGUAGGAAGUAUACAAAGAAACGAAUGCAGUGACACAUUCUAGCAAGUAUACAAAGAAACAAAUACGGAAAGCCAACAGAACAUGUACAACCUGAGAUACUGCAUCAUUGUUCUUGUUACUAGAAAUACUUUUUAUACAUAAUAAAACAAAACUUUUCUAUAUAAAAACCUAAAGACAAUGACAAUUCUUUUGGCGAAUCAUUAUUUGCGGUUAACAUUCUGGUGUGAUGCAGUUAAAGUUCGAGGCUGAAACAUUCAACUUGCAUCAUUGUUUGCAGAUCCACUCCCCAGUUUUCUACAAUCACAGCUUUUUGCCGAUCUAGUACCACAACUGAUACAAUGAUUAGAGAUAAAGCAGUAUCCACUACCAUUCUAGAGCAACAAACAAUACUUAGGGGCCCGUAACUGAGAACAAACACAAACAAUACGAAAAAUCUCAAGAAAUGAUGAAUAUUCAACUAACCUAGUGUAACCAUUUGUAGGGCAGCUUGCAAUUCAUGUCGAUCUUUGCUUGCACCAGGAUAUUUGUAGUAUGCAGCCUUCAUAUAGGCCACUUCAACACACUUAUAUGCUAAAGCAGCAGCAGCCAUUUCCUUGCAUCGCUCAUAUUCAUGAGCACAAAACCUGCAAAAGCAACAGAGCCAAGUAUGCCCAUUGUUGAACACAUUAGAUGUGCACAUAACCACAAACAAGCAACCUCUAGAAAAAUUGUUUGGGUAUUUUUCUACUGUAAGACAAGAUUGUAAAUAAUAGCAUAUCACUGUAAAAAUGUAAAUAUGAGCAUACCAUCCUAUCCUUCUACAGGAAGUGUGUGAAAAAAGUUAUAAACCCAGAUUCUCUCCAUCAAAUAUUAGUACAUCCUCGACAAUUUUCUUGAUACAUCAAGAUUCUCAAUCUUCUAGAGUAAGUCAUCAAGCAACAUGUUAAGAACUUCCAUUCAAUCUUGUAGUAUAGGUUAUCAAGGGAUUGAACACUACUACUUGUUCCAACAUUCAAGUGUUUUAACUGAAAAGGAGGCUCUCAUUUCAAGCAUCAUAUAGAUUUUAUUUAGCAAAAAGAAAGAACUGCCACUGAGUGGGUUCCUAAAUGGUACUUGUUGCUGAUAUGCUCACACAUCCUAGGACUAACCAAUCAGCCGGAACAUAAAGCAGCAAGUAUGCAGAGAAUACUGGCAAAAAAUUACACAUAUAUAUGUUCGAUCAUCUAACAACUAAAUACAGUAUUAAAAUUGAACCGCAAGUUGCGAGACUGUCAGUUGCUUUCAGCCAAAUAACAAAGUACUAGACUUUUAGGCUAAUAAAACACAGGAGUUUAUUCAUGCUAACAUUCUGCAUUGUUGUAUAUGUUAUAUAGUACUUGCAGUUUGUAAUAGUGAAAUUACUAGGUUUACUGUUAACUUAUUUACAAAUCAUGUUGAACAGAGUAAAUUUUAUAACUUACUCGCAAAGUUUUGCAGUUUCUGAGUACAUCUGCAUGGAUUGAGCUGUAUCUCCUUGCUUCGAGCUAUCAAAACUAAGGGGCUCCCAAAGAGAAGCAACAUGUAAAAAUUUUAAGGCGGCCUCAAAAUAUAGGCCCCUACCUUCUCGUUCCUUUCCUUCAAUCUGCAAAAUGUCACAUGCUCAAUCUUUUGUUAAGGGAAAGUUCAAGAUAGACAGUUAAUUAAUUCACGAGAAGACAAUGUCAACCUUCAAACGAUUAGCUCUAUGCUUCAAAUCUCGAGCUUCUUUCAAGACAAUAGCUGCAGCAGAAUGGCCAUCCUUCCUAAGUGGACUUGAAGAAUCCUGACCAUUAAGUAACGCUUGCCUCAAACUGUUAUGUUGAACUCCAUUUAGAGUACCAGGCUUUCCAUUUGGAAUGUCAGGCUUUCUUGAUUGUUUGGCCCCUUUUGAUGAAUCAGAAUUUACAACAUCAGUGGAAUAUAGUUCUGCUCUACUAGCCUUGACAGGUGAGCAGGCCAUUUGAGAAAAGCGGGUUUGUUCUUCUUGUUUAUUUGCUCUAGGUUGCAACUUGUCUGUUACAGAUGGUAAUUCUGCUUGACCAUUUUGAUCCGAAAGCAAAUCAAUUGAUAAUUUUUCAUCUCGGAAAGAUGGUUUUAUUUUCAGGUCUUCAUGCACGUCAGAAUUACCACCUUUUGCUUCUGUAAAAGCAGCUCUUGAGUCAAAAUCCUUGUGCUGCUUAGAACGCAUGGAAGGCCUAUAUUCCUCCAAACUUUCUUGGGUUCCAGAAUUCAAGUGAUUAUCCCUUCUACCUACACCAUAAUAGUUCCCCAUAUGCUCACGUUUCUGCAGUAAAUCAUGCUGAUCUUUCUCCCUAACAUCAUCCACCUUUUCUUUUAAGGUUCCAGAAACUUCAAAAUUACCUUUGUCAACAUCAGAUUUAUAGUUUCUAAGUUUGUCCUUGGAACGUGAAAAAGAACUUUUCCCCGACUUUUGAUGACUCAUACCAUCUGUUCUUCUAUUAUUAUUCGUCUUAUCAAAAUCCUGAGCAUGCCUUUUAUCUGGGGUUUCAUGAACGUAGCUGCUAUUGAUAUCUAAUCCACCUACAACUUUUAUCUUUUCAGUCUCGGAGGGUAGCAGAUCAUCAUGGGAAGCCCUUUUCAAAUGUAAUUCGCCAUCUGACCAUCUUUUUGGGUUACCCACUUUACAGGAAACAACAUUCAUAGCUUCAUCCUUCAUGAUGGAGUUUUUGUCAAAGAUCUUCUCAGCAUUAGAAACUCUAAAUGGGGAUGAAGAAACUGACUCUACUGGAGAGCCUCUUUGUUCCUGAACAUUAACUUUACUUUUGAAGGAGCCGGAAACUUUCGAAGAGCUCGACGUAGCUGCUCCUGCAGAAGCCUGCGCAUAAGCCAUUUCCCUCUUCAAAGAAGAGUCCAUGGCCUCCAUGGUCCCCUUUACUUCAGACCUCGCAACUUUUGAUGACUUUUCCUUUGAGACCUUUCUCACAAAUGAGGCUUCAUUAGCAACAAUAUGGCUGUCCAAAAGCUGCUGGCUGCCAACGUGAUCAUCCACAUUGCGUUGACUCUCCUGCCACUCUUUCACUUUCCUCUUCUUUGCAGAAGGCUCUGGCUUAUUUCCAGAUCUUUCAAUGUCGGAACUGCUAAAGAAGUCUACGUUCUCCCUAUUCGAUAAAAUUUGGUCUCCAUAUUUUAACCUCUUUGAAGAUGUAGAUAGAUGGCCUUUAGAAACAACAUCACCAUACUUCUGUGAAGAUCUUGCCAUUUGUUUAGUCGACGGAACAGUACUUGCAAUUGGAACUGUCUCUUUGUCUAGAUUUAAGUCUGGGUGCCAAUCAUCAGCAGAUUUGUGCAGGUCUUCUUUCUUAACUUUUUUAGAUGCUCUGAUAUCAUCUUGAUCAACCACUCUUUUGCUCUUCAAUUUUGAAUGCUUUCUACUCUUUUCAAUUAGAUCUCCUGUUGCAAGGUAAAACAAAUAGUUAACGACAAUGUUGAAAGAAGUAUAAGACAAAAUGCAUGAAGAAAAGCAACUAAGGGCACCUCCAUCUGGAUGAAUUUCCAGGUUCUUGUGCUUCUUGGGCCUGGGCUUUUCCUUCUCUUGGGUGAAGUCCAACGACUUGCUCUCAAGACCCACGGCAGUUUUGCUGUUUUUCAUAGAGACCUGAGGGUUCUUUUUCAGAGAAUUUGAAACCUGCAUUAGGCUUGACUGAUUGGGUAUUCCAUCCUUGGGGCCAUAUUUCUUCCUCACAGAUGUGCCCAUUGACAGCAUAUUAUGUUCACUUCUUUGAUUAGACGGUUGAGCACCGGCCAUAGUUACGCUUGAAGCAGGAAGAUCAUGACGAGCAUCUAAAACAACAGCACUUUCAGGGGCUGGAACCAUGUACAAUGCAUUCAGAGCUUUUGUUGUCUCUUCCUCGCUUAUGUUGCAACUAUUCAUUCCAGGUCUAUAAAAGAGUUUCAAAUAUUAAAACGAGGACAGUUUAUGUGCUGCAAAAGCACUUUUAACUGCGGUACUUAUAAUUCGAACAAUGAUGAGUCAAUGGCAACAAAACCACAAAAGACCAAGAAUUUCAGAAAUUCUGAAACAGCAACAAGAUAAUAGAAUUCCAUAAAUGUACCUCCUAAAUUUCAGAUGUCAUUAGACAUAAAAUGUAAACAUAGUUAACUAAUAACACCUACAAUUAAUAUGCAUAGAGAAAUAGCAAGCGCAUAGGGGAAAAAGACAAAAAUGAUUAAGCAUAAGCUGUCAUAACUCAAGUGCACUUCAGAGAAAAACUUACAGCCAGUUAAGCAAGCUACACUGCCACUUUUUUGGAAGAUGAUCUGGGUUGGUCCCAUAAGGUAAUAGACGCCAUUUUUGACAUAUAUCGCAGCAUACCCAAUGUUCCUCAAUUACAACAGGAGCAGGGGCCGGAGCAAUUGCCUCUAUAGCAGUUGAAGCAUUUUGUAUUAGCCUAUUAUCAAAUUCCUUAGAUAUUGAAUUAUUAUCAAUCUUUCUACUGCUUAACCAGUCCCUUGAUGUUUCCCCAUGCAUGACUUCCUUCACAUUUUCAGCCUCCAUGGAUUUUGGCUUACUUUUUUGCUGUGAAUCUCGCAGAUUACUUUCAUUCUCCAAUGCACCACUCAUGACACCUCCAUGAGAUUCUUUCAAGAAGUCACCACUCAUCUCUUUACGGUAUUUAACUUUAGGCUGCUUUUCAGACUGAUCAGUUCCUGCAUGAGAGCUUUUCUUCUUUUCUUUUACUGCUUUAGAGGACUGAACACCCUGGUUGUCCUUCAAGAACUCAACUGAUGAUUUACCAUUCAUCUGACUUCCCUCCUGUUUACCUUGUAUGUCAAAAAAUUCCUCCUUUCCUUGCAUGACCUUUUCUCCAUCUUGUUCACAUGAAAUAGUUCUGUAAGUUUGAUCCUUCCUACCAUAAUACAUCUCAGAAUCAACUUUAGCUGUAUCACCAUAUUUCUGUACUACUUUGUUUUCUCUUUGGAUAUCAAUCCGAGAAUCUUUGUGGCUAUCUGUGAUUCCUUCCGAUGCUUUAACUACUUUGCUUAUUUUUGAGUUCAAUUUCCCCUUUAAAUAAGCAUCCCCAUCUUCCGGAUUGUCUGCCCCCUUUCCGUCCAUGACGCUCAUGAAUUCCAAUUUAUUUUUUGGUAAUUCAGAGGUGCUUAUCCUGCUUUUGCCAGAAGCACUUUCCAUUUCCUUCGAGCGACCUAACAUCCCACUGGCACCCUUUGCUGAUUCAUCAGCCAACUCAGAAGAAAUCUCCUCUCCUUCAACGGAAAGUUUGGCAUCAAUAUCUCUAUUCAGAGUUGUGCUUAUGUCAUCUAAGCAAUUUGAAUUCCUCACACCAACAUACCCCCCUUUCUUUUCAUCAGGCUUUGUCUUCUUUGGUGCAUGGCCUUUGGCAUCUUUUGCUGGGAGAGUUAAAUCAUUUAGGCGUUCACAUGGUUUAGAAAUAUUCUUAAAAACUGUGCUUGUUUUAGACUUUUUUAAGAAAUUUGUCGCUUUUUCUGCCAAUUGCAGCACAUUUCCUUGAAGUGGAGAGACUAAAAACCCACCAGGAACAGAAAAGCACGUCAUCAUCUGUUUAACAGCAAAUAGAAAGAAAUAUAUAAGCUACUUAAAGCUCGGGAAAUAAAUUGGGUAAACAUUUGGAUACUCCCUGCGCUAUCCUGAUAUUGCAACUUAGCCUUUGAACUUUUCACUUAACACUUCAGCCCCUAAACUUUCUCAUAUACUAAGAUUCCAUCCUUGCCUGCUAAAAGGACCAAGUUUAUCAUGCAAAUCACCAUUUACCCUUCUGAAAACGACUUUGUGCAUCGGUGAAAUUAAAAAGUGUUAAACUGGUUAUUUCAUAAUAAGUCCUGUGGUGAGGGACAGUGUUUAUGCAAGAAGUUCAGGGAUUGGUCUGAAUAUCAGGAUAGCAUACAUAUGCUACAUGCUAUAUCAACGGAGGAACCAAUAAGUGGCGAAGAUUUACCUCAAGAAUUGUCCGGGGCGAUUCAUCAUCCAUGUCUCCAAAAUCAGGAGAAAGCUCCCCGCUCCCCUCAGCACUAUCGUCCAGCGAGGAAGAAGGAGAAAUAUCAAGGCCCAAACCACUGUAAAUAGCAGCAUUAUUUCUUGCCAAAGCGUUAUCAGAGCCCACUCUGAUGCGAACUUUCAAUGACUUCUGGUCACUAGUAUUAACAGAUCUACUUGGAGCAGACUCCCCAUUAUCCUUUUUCCCCGAAUUUUCCGUAGAAGAUAUGUUGUUUCUAGAAAUAGAUGCACUCUGGCAGGAUAGAACAAGCAAAUUUCAACACCAUAACUUGGGUGGUGUAUAUGAAUCUUAUGAUAAAAGGACAAUUUUAUAGGACUAAGCAUUACAAAAUAUAAAUUCAAAAUAUAAACAAAUCUACCUCCGACGCCAGGUUGUAAGGAGAUCUUGAACCAUUGUGAUUUGGUAUUUUAUGUGGGCUUCUCGGUUGGGGCAAAGUUAAAGGUGAACGCUGGUAAGUGGGCAAAAAUGAGCCAUAUCCUCCAAAUUUUGGCCCUAUUAACAAAUAACUAAUCACCAUUAUUAUCUGACAAACUAUUUGAAGUAGCUUCUUUUUCCUGUUCUAACUCUUACCCAAGUUCUCAGCGGAGACUCCGCCCUCAAAGUCUUUCUGGAAAUGUCCCAAUACAUCCUGAAGUUUUUCAUCCUGAGAGAAAAACGCAAUCACGUUCCGUAAGGGACAAUAUUCUCGACCACAUUCCGUUUGAUUAGUAUACACGUGCAAUCCAUAUGCAUUGCAAACACCUAACUUUAUUUUACUUUGUGCACAUACUUGCUAAUUUUGUGCAGGCAAAAGAAGGUGCUAGUAAUAACUAACUUCCGCACUGAUGAUCAAACCUUACUAAUCGGGCCCGAAAGGAAACUAUGAUCUCAGAGAACAUGCAAUUUCAAAGGCUGAUCCCUCCCUAAAACAAAACUAUAUGUGGAGAAAUUAUCAAAACAACAAAAGAAUAGAGUUCCAGUAUAUCUCUCAGUUGAAACCAAUGUUUCCGCAAUUAGGCCAAAUCCUGUAAAUUGUGACCAGUAAAUGAACACCACCAGCAACCGACAAAUCGACGCAACGAACACUAAGAGCCGUAUUCAUCAGAUGCAUCAAGUUAUGUGUUUAUCGAACGACAAAAUCAAAUCUUUCGGGUAAUAAUAGUGCCAAAAGAUCAAAAUUUUGAGAAGGCCUUACGAGGUACGAAAGGGCGACGUCCGGGUCGACGCAGGAGACCUCCUCCGGUCCGGAGCACGCCUCGCCCUCCUCGAGCUCGUUCUCCUCCAUCUCCUCUCCCCCACCAAACCCCAACCCUAACCCCUCUCUCCCAUCCUCCCUCCUCCCCACCGACAACAUCCAACCCCCCCUCCUUCCCNACCCCCACCCCCACCCCCACCAAACCCUUCAAUCCCAAACUCCUACCCAAACUCCCCAAUCGGUUUUCUUCGUCUUCUCCAACGCAAACCCUUGAACCGCCUCCCGAUCGGCGGAGCCCCGCGAUCGAGCUCUCGCCGACGAGUCCCGGAGAUCCGGGGCCCGAUUUCGCGCUAUCGAUCGGUGCGAGAUCGAUCACGAGAUCGCGAUUGGCGAGGGAGAAGGGGGGCGCGAUCGAGCGAGCGACCGAUCGAUCGAUCGAGGGUUUCCCCAGCCGCGAUCUUUUCCCUUCUUUUAUUGCGUCUUCCUCGCUGUGGGCCUCGUGGCGUUCUACCGCCGCGGAGAGAGGAAGAGAGAGAAAGAGAAAGAGAGAGAGAGAGAGAGGAGAGAGACAAAAAAAUGGAAAAUAAAUUAAUUCGUUAUCACGUUCCUUCUCUUAUUUCCUUGUGCAUUGUAUGGGCACUACACCGAAUCCUUGCAUGGACCACGUUCACCGCGUCAUCCAUGGACCUCCGCGAGAUCCACCCUCCAUUUUGGUCCUUCCAAAAAUCGACUCCGUCUAGUUAAUCUCAAUUUUAUAAAAACUUAUAAAUUUUUUUUUUUUUUGGGGGAAGUAGAGGAGAUUCGAAGGAUAUUAGAGUUGGUCUACGGAUGACGUGGUGAACUCUAUCCAUGGAUUUUUAAUAAAUAAUUUUUCCUUUUUUCUUUUAUUUUUCGUUAAUUUUAUUUUCUUGUUCCGCUUCGGCUGUUGGGGAUCUACAGCAGUUCUUUCCAUCCCAAAUUCCAUAGUACCCAAUAGAAAAUUGACACGUGGCCAGAAUUGGUAUCUCCUGUUUGAACGCGGAUGUGCGAUGCGGGUGUGGCGCCGUCUUGCCGUGUGGGGCCACGUGGCAGGGGGCCGGAUUGGUGGCGUGUGCGAGUCUCAUACACUGUUCGCAAAAUCUUAUCGGACGCUUGAUCAACGAUCCAGCCGCUAAAUUUCCAACACGUGUCACCUUUGCUGGGGACAUUGCCAUUCGACUAUAGAGAGCUUUAGGGCCUAUUUAUUUAAGUGGAAAUUAUUUUCAGUUGUAAAUAAUUAUUUUUAUUAUUUAUUCCACUGUUAUAAAAAAACGGUUGAAACUCGGAUUGUCCAAAAUAGAUUACAGGCCGAAGUUAAUUAUAGUGAAUAAAUGUAAAAAAAUAAUAUAAUAAUAUAAUCAGUGAUGCUUAUAAUUAUAUUUAAAUAUAUUUAAUUACGGUACUAAUUACUCUUUUAUUUAGUUUGCAUAUUUAAAACAUGAUAAAAUUUGAUUAGUUAUGAUUUAGUAUCUGUUCCCUUUAGUCUGUACAUUUAAAAUAUGGUAAAAAUUGAUUAAUUAAUUAUUUAUAUUUUUUUACUUUAUAAUUUUAUAGUUGUAUUAUUAUCAUUUAUUAUAGAUUUAUAGAUAAAAAUAUUUUAGUUGUUAUAAAUUAAUUUUUUUAAUUAUAUUAUAAUUAUUUUUAUUUAUUAUAUUAUAAAUUAUUAUUUAUGUAUAAACUAUAUUUUACAUCGUUCACUUUUUAUAAAACAAACAAAAGAACUAAAAAAAACUUUAUUUCUAUAGCUACAAAAUAAAUAGUAGAAAAAAAUAAUAAUUUUCGUCGAGCUCUACUUCAGCCCAAAGUUCAGUUUCGAUGAAACAGACAUGCGUACAUUACAAUUACAAUAAUUUCAUAACUUCACCUGCUAAUUUAUUAUGUAUGAAACAAAUUAAUUUAAAUGUAAGAUGCUAUCAUUUUAUUUAUUUUCUAUUAAAAAAUUAGCUAAAAAUAUGAGGCGUUAAGCUUUUUCGUCACUUGUAAUAAGAAUGAUCAAUUUGGUAGGCCAAGUUUUUGUUGUAAAACUUUAUGCGUUUUGGUAAUCUAGAUUAGGGACCAUAUUUUGUUACAUUAAUUAUAUACGUAAAAUAAAUUUUGCACACGGGCACGGAACGAUAGAAGUAACUGCACCAUUGAAUUAUAGGACUCGGUAGUAAAACAGGUGUGACAAAAUGCGUGAGUUUCAGUUGUACUCUUCAAAGAGUACUAUGGAAAAUUUACUACACAUGUAACUAUUAACAAUUAUCAUAAAUAUUUAGUUAAUUUCCAGCUAAGUUUAUUUCUAAAUGAAAUAAACGAAGCGGGCAGCGUGCUUGCUAUCUAUCUCUAAAAAAAAAUAAAAAAUUAGUUCAUAUAAAAUUUUCAUAAAUUAUUUAUAAACAUUCCUAGUUUAAUUUUUUUUUUUAAAAAAAAACCUGAUGCGUAGAAUUUUAGGAAUUUCUAUCAUUUCCAAAUAUACUCGUGCUGUUAUGAUUCGUUAGAAAAAUACAGUUUUUUUUUUAAGAGAUAGAUAACACGCUACUCGCUUCGUUUAUUUCAUUUAGAAAUAAAUUUAGCUAGAAAUGUGAAUCAACGAGAAUUCGAACUUGAAUCUCGGAUACCAACUAUCAAGUCUUUUUGCCACUUGCACUAAGGACGGUCAGUGUUAGAAAAAUACAGUUAACCAUAGAUUCUUAGUUUCUUACUAAUGUAACAAAGAGGCGUCGAGGACUAUUAUGACCAAAAUGCCCUCCAGGAGAGUUGUCAGAGACUCAGAGGCCAUAUAAUUAGGGGCAAAAGAGUCAUUUCGCUGUUGCUUCCAACUGAUUAGGAUGGAAAGGGGGGCGAAUUUUCCCGGGGGGGUUGGUGGGCUUUUUGGGCUGUCCUGCUUUUAAAGGCGGGUGCGGUGUCGACGGAACAACACGUGGGGGUUUUGUCGGAUCCGCGUCGUUGAAGCCGCAACACAGCAAACAGCAGACGCCACCGAAUUGGAAGCCGGCACGUGUCCUUUGAAACUUGAAUAAAUACCGGCUUAUUACCCCGCAAUUUCAUCCUUAGUAAAGCUUGUGGUCGCUUGACUGACCACGAACCGCAUCAACGAACCUUAGCGCGCCCAUCCUCGACAGUUCUGUCUCGUCCUUCUCCUCCUCGGCUUCGACAACGGUCACUUGCUUUUUUUUUACUUUAUUUCGAUUUGGGCUCGUUUUCAUCUUUGUUCUCGCACGUCUUUAGUGGUUUACUAUGAUCGUCCUUGGUCUGCGCAUAUUUGGGCAAUGUCUCGCCAGAGUUCAAGAGACUAGUCAAUACAUCUCCAAAAACUUGAAAAAAGAAAAAAGAAAAACCUUUUCAUAUAUAGAAUUAGGUUGGAAUACUAUUAAUAGUAAAACAUUUUUUUUGCUAUCGAGUUGUUAAUCCUUGGAUGAAAAAUUAUAGGGUCAAGAUGAUAUUAGUCGGUUAGAGUUGAGCGGUUCCCCUAGGGUUGAGUGGUCCCCACUGGGUUGUAGUAUUUAAUCCAAUGGUUAGAAAUAAUGAAAAGAGUUGAUCAAAAGGUUAAAAAACUAAUAGCAACAAUGGGAUUUUGCUACUAAUAAUAGCCCAGUCCAACUCUUCAUAUAUAUAUAUAUAUAUANAGUUUUUGGUCUGUUUGGUUCUUAAAAAAUCUAGUUUUUUUUUAAAAAAUCUCUUUUCAAAAUUUUUGAAAAACAGUAUUUUGAUUUUUCUAAAAAUUCAAAAGAAUAUUAAUUUGUCAUAAAUUUUGAUUUUUUUUUCAAAAAAGCUAAUUUUUUGAAACCAAAUGGACAGAAAAUUUAAAAAAAUAGAGAUGUUUUGUUUCAUGAAAAAAAAAAUGGAAAAUAUUUUCUACACUUUUCCGACGAACCAAAUGCCCCCUAAUUUUAUCAGUCCUAUAGUAUAGAUAAUUAUAUUAUUUCAAACUUUAAUUUAUUAUAAUUUUUAAUUUAUUUUUAAUUAUUCUACUAAGUCUUAAAACACAGCUUGAUUGAUUAAAAGAUGAUAUACAGUUACACCAGUACUAUACUUAAUGACACACAGUAUAGUAUGUAAUAAUUAAAAUAUUAUAUUAUUAACAUAAUAAAUUAAAAAUUGAAAACUAAAAUAUCACCAGCCACAUAGUUUAAAACAAAAUGUUUAAUUUAACCAUAUAAUUUAUGAGAGUACCUUGUACAUUUAAAAAGUAUUAAUUUUUUUUAUUUAUUUAAAUUUUCUUUCUCUAUAUGAACUAUACCACACUGUCCUUCUCAUAGAUCACUAAAACUAUCUAAUUAUAGCCUUUCAUGGCACUUAUAUAUGAAAAUUAUUGAAUCUCAAUUCAAUUCCAUUGUUUAGGUGUUUUUUUCCAUAUUAAAUAGGUUUUUUUUAUUCUAAUAAAAAAUACAGUAUUUUAAUCAAAUAAUAAAAAAUAAAGAAAAAAAUUAUGAAGGCACCAAUCUAAUACAACGAAUUAUUAAAUUAUAUUUUUAAUUUCUAAAAUUGUCAAACCGUCCUUAAUUUUUUUAUUUUGGUAAUGUUAAUUAUGUUUCUUAUGGAAUAAAAUAACACUAUUUUGAUAAUGGUGUUUUCUUCUUGCUCUUUUUCUAUUUCUUAUUUUUUUAUUUUUAAAUAUCUUUAGUUAUCAUUAUAGACUUGUCAAAGCUCGUGGCUAAGUUGGAGAAGCAAAGUUUUGUCUAUUUUAAAUUUAAAUUUGAAAGUGAUACAUAUAAUAUUUAACUAUUUUAUUAUUUAUAAUACAUAUUAUUUUAUUUUUAAUAUAUUAUUUAGUUUUUUUAUUAGAUUAAUCUGUUUAAUCAUAUAAAGUUAUAAUCAAAUUUUAAAAUUUUUUCAACCUUCGUAUGUGAUUGCGUUGGUGUAUUGAGAAAAUACAAAAGAAAUAUAUUGUGAUCAUUUAAGUCGUGUUGAUAUAUAUAUAUAUAUAUAUAUAUAUAUAUAUAUAUAUUUUUGAGAGAGUUCAUUUAUUUCAUUUAGAAAUAAACAUGGCUGGAAAUAUGAAUUAACUAGGAUUCGAACUUGGAUUUCGGGUAUCAACCAUCAAAUCCUUUGCCACUUGCUCUAGAGACAGUCGGUGUGUUGAUAAAUAGUUACUGUUUAUUUUCUAUGAUUUUAUUUAAAAAUACAGAAAAUUUUUUUGCCCCUGUUGAUUUUAGACAAUAGACUUUUAUAAAAUUUAUGAUUAUUUCUUUUUUCAGCACCACAAUCAUAAUGGCCCACAAAGCAACUUCUCGCCAAAACCUGUGCCCACGUGGCUAUUUCCGCAACCUUAAUAAAAAAAUUUAUUUGAUUGGUUAGAAAAUAGGGAUAAUUACCUUAUAUACCAAUCAAAAUUUCAAAAAUAUUUUAUUUACUUUUUUUUUCUUUUCAAUAUAUUCCUUAUAUGUUCCUCCGUUAUUUCAAAAAACUCAUACAGUUAUCGCUUAUCACCCGUUAAGUUAACUUGAAUUAAACAUGAAUUAAAUAUUUACCACAGUUCAAAAAAAUUAAAAUGCCACUUUUGUCCUAACUUAAGGGCAAAUAAGAAAUAUUGUGAUGAUAGAAGGGUAUAUUUGAAAAUACCAAAAAGCAAAAUAGGAUAUAUAAGAAAAGUCGGUGAUGAUAGAAAAAUAUAUUUAAAAGGACAAAAUUGUAAUUUUACAGAAAUAAUAGAGUUCAUUAAUAGAUUAGGUUGGAACAUAAAAAUGUUAUUUUUAAUAUUAGCCUUUUAAGAGGAAUAAACCAGAAAGUCGAAAUUUUUUCAGAAAUAUAUAAACAAUUCUCCUUAGAAAAUAAUAGGAUGCAAAUGGGACGUAUUCGGAGGCGGAAGGAUUUCUCUACCUUCCGCUUUAUUUUUUUGUAGAGACGGGACGGAUUCGGAACAGAUUAUUUUUUAUUUUUUUUUUGGCUAUCCCUUACGGCCCAUUCGGAACGGAUCGGACGGGCGGAUUUUUAAGGGAUCAGGACAGAUUGGAGAAAGAAACGGAUCUUUCAUUUUUCGCUUUAUUUAUUUGACGGAUUCGAAACGAAUUCGAGACAAAUUAUAUUUUUCUAUAUUUUUUAUUCUUACUUACUGAUUAGGAUCGGACGGAAGUUCUAUCAAUCCGAAUUCAUUUGCAUUCUUAAAUAUUAAGAACACCGUAUCACCAACAUAG